GAAAAUUUCAGGUUUUCACAAAGGGUUUAAGAAAGAGGGUGAAAGUUAAAGAACUUGUCUUUGUUUUGAUGUGUGGUACACGAGAUAGUGAAGGAAAAUAGAGGUGAGGAAAUAAGAUGGAGUAAGUGCCUAAGUGGUGAAAAAGGAGAGCCUAAAAGAGACAUUUUUGAAGGGUAGUUUAGAAGCUGCAGAGGCUUUGGCAUACAGCAGCUGAUAAUGAGAGAAGACAAACCAGAAAUGUAAGUACGACGACGAUAAAAAUUAAAAAAUUUUAAGAAUUAAUGAAAUAAAAUUUUGUAGCUUAGCGAAUUGGGACGAAGUCCACCAGUGUGAUGCCCAUAGAUCCAUACCUGGGAUUUUUCUAUUUGGGCUAACUUUCUAACUUCUCCCACCAGUCUUAAAACUUUGCAGAUUUUUUCAAUUUGAUCUGGAUUGUAUGAUAACAUAUCACUUUGAGAUUGGAAAAAAAAUUAUUUUUUUUAAAUUAGAGAAAAAAUAAAGAAACUAAAUUUCAAGCAUGCAAAGUACAAAAGAAAGAACUGUAUUAAUAAAAGAUGAGUUACUUCACUCAGAUUGGAGUACCCUUUAAACAAGUUUAUUCUUGUAGAGAAAGAAACUGGAUUUUGAUUUCAUUUGCUGUGGCAAAAUUUUUAAUUUCAACAACAGUAUAACAUAUUGAAAGCCUGCCUACAUCUCGGCAGAAAAAUUUACAAAUUCUUUCAUCAGACAAUUUAAAUGAUGCAAUGCAAAGAUUCAUCAAUGUAUGAUCUUUUUAUCAUAAAUGGCUGUUUUACUGGAAAACUUGAUAUGUACUGUCUUUCACAUUCUUUUGUGCUGAAUGGUCUCUGAAAACUGCAAUCAUCAACUAUAGAUAACCCAUUCCUCAGCGCCGCCAGAGCCGACCUUGUUGUUUCUGUUCUUGAACUUGCCUGUGUCAUCAAAGGCAGUGAGCAUUUAUCAAUGUUAUAAAAAUGGCAUAUCGAAGUCAGAUUUUACUUGACAAUACACAAAUGUAAGAAGAUAAUUCACCUUUGAUACUCUUUAGAACGCUCGAGAAACUCUUUCGCGAUGUCUUUUCUUUAAUAUGAUUGCAAUACUUGUCUGAUAUCAGCCGGACCAUUGUGUUAGUACAAAACUCCGGUAAGGAAAAAAACUCGAACACACGAUCGGAACUCGAAAAGAAAAAGAAGAAAUAGGACAGGCUCCAAGGCGUGUAUCAAGCCACUAUCUUUAAGGUUAUAUUCGCCCCCACUUAUCUUCAGUGUGCAAACGAGUUCCAAGCAAAUUAACCUCGAGGAUACAAUGAAGCCAAUGACUAUUUGCGUUUUGCACUGACGAGAAUAGUCCACUAUACACUAAGUAAUGUAUAACAAAAACUCAAUUUCUACAAAGGAUUUCUGCAGCAAUACUUUAUAGAAUAAUCUAAUAAUAUUAGAAAAUGAAGGAAGAGAAGAAAUAAUAUUAGAAUUUGUUGAUAUGAUUUCCAAAUGAAAUCCCAUUCCUAUUUAUAGGAAUUUUCAUGUCUCUUCAUAGAGACAUCUUUCAAUAGGUGUCUUUAUGAAUAAAUAAAUAAUAAUAAUUAUUCAUUUAAUUUUGUAACUAUUCAAAUAAUAUUUUUUGAAUAGUUAUAAUUCUUUUUUAAAAAAUCAAAUGAUAUAACUUUUGACCAAUGACCAAAAGUUUUAUCUUUUGAUUAAUUACACCCAUUCAUUUAUAGUUAUUGGGAUACUAUAAAUAUUUGAAAAUAUUCCAACAAUCUCCCCCCAUUUUCAAAAUAUUUAGAUUUUGAUAUUCUUGGAAAUCAAUUUGCAUAAAUAAAGGUGUCUUACGAUUGAACCUUCACUUAGUGAAAACAUGUUAAAGUUAAUCGAAAUUGUAUGGUAGACUAAGCUUUGAACCAACUAUUCCAUUUGAUUAAUUGAACACAUCUCACACAAUGAUUUCAACAUCAGUCAAUGCAUAGUAUCUAGGGACACUAUUAUAGCCAUGUGUCUAUGUCCUCUUUUCAUGAGUGCUGUCAGAGCCAAGCCCUUAAGCUCCUAGAAGCGGCCACACUUCCACUCACAUAGGUAGAUCCCAUCAAAAGUGUUCCCGUAAUUAUAACACUCUAACAUAUUUAUGUUAUGGGUCCAUUAAGAGUAAAUUACUCAUCCUUCCCUUAUCAUUACGGGUACCUAGCACUUUAAUCUUAGGAUGGAUUUAUUUAUAGUGCUAACAGUCACAUACUAAUGAUGUACUUUGUCUCAUUGAACUCAAGACUUGACGUUAUACCAAGCAUUGAGUCGAGUUUCCAUCAUGGGUGACUCUAAUUAAUAGGCUUGAGUCCCAUCCCUUUUGAGGUCCUUUUUACUGCAUCUCUAGCAAGACUUUUUGUCAAAGGAUCUGCCAAAUUUUCACUUGACCUCACAUAAUUAAUAGUGAUCACUCCAUCAGAGAUUAAUUGUCGGACAUAACUAUGUCUUAAUCCAAUGUGUCUAGACUUUCCAUUAUAUACUUGGCUAUAUGCCUUUGCUAGAGUAGCCUCACUAUCACAACGGAUAGAAAUAGGUGAAAUUGGCUUAAGCCAUAAACGUACAUCAUAAAGCAAAUUUCUUAACCAUUCUGCUUCUUUAGAUGCAGCGGCUAAUGCAAUAAAUUCUGCUGCCAUGGUGGAAUCAGUAAUACAUGUUUGUUUCUUGGAACCCUAAGAAAUGACUCCUCCACCAAGAAUGAAGAUCCACCCACUAGUAGAUGCAUGAUCUUCCAAACUUGUAAUCCAACUAGCAUCCGAAUACCCUUCUAAAACUGGAGGAUAUCCAUUAUAACACAAUCCAUAGUUAAUAGUUUUCUUUAAGUACCUAAGUACUCUAUUUAAAGCUUGCCAAUGCAAACUACUUGGAUUAUUUGUGUAUCUACUCAAUUUUCCAAUAGCAUAUGCAAUAUCUGGUCUUGUACAAGUCAUUAUGUACAUAAGAAAACCAAUUGACUUGCAUAUUUCAAUUGAUCAAUUUUCCUACCAGCAUUAGAUACUAAUUUUAAUUGAGGAUCCAUGGGUGUAGAUACUGGUAUACAGUUGAAAAUAUCAAACUUUUUAAGCACAUUUUCAAUGUAAUGUGAUUGUGAUAAAGCUAUAGUGCUUUCAUCUCGGGUUAUUUUAAUCCCAAGAAUAACAUCUUCUACACCCAUAUCCUUCAUAGCAAAGUUGUUUGACAAGAAUUUCUUUGUGUUUUCUAUUUGUUCCAAAUCCGUGCCAAAAAUGAGCAUGUCAUCUACAUAUAAGCAAAUUAUAACACCCUUUCCAUUAUCAAAUUUACUAUAUAUGCACUUAUCGGAUUCAUUUAUUUAUAGCCAUUAGCUAAAACAACCUUGUCAAACUUUUGGUGCCAUUGUUUUGGUGCUUGUUUAAGCCCAUAUAAAGAUUUAACAAGCUUACAUACCUUAUGCUCUUGUCCUGGAACAACAAAUCCUUCCGGUUGCUCCAUGUACACUUCCUCUUCCAAUUCACCAUUUAAAAAUGCAGUUUUAACAUCCAUUUGGUGAACAACCAAAUUAUAUAUAGAGGUAAGUGAUAUUAAUAGUCUAAUUGUAGCAAUUCUUGCUACUGGAGCAUAGGUAUCAAAGUAAUCAAUACCUUGUCUUUGUGUAAAACCUUUUGCUACCAACCUUGCUUUAAAUUUAUCAAUGGUUCCAUCGACCUUCAUUUUCUUUUUGAAGAUCCAUUUACAACCUAUUGGUUUGGAACCUGGUGGAAGAUCAACUAAGAUCCAAGUUUGAUUUCCCAUUAUUGAAUCCAUUUCAUCAUUUAUUGCUUCUUUCCAAAAAGUAGAGUCUUGAGAUUUCACUGCUUCUUCAAAUGUAACAGGAUCAGAUUCGGUAUUAUAACAAUAAGGUAUCUUAUUGCAUAUACUUUCACCUUUUCCUUCUAUAAGAAACAUAAUGAAAUCUGGUCAAAAAUCUUUGACCUUUUUAAUCCUCUUACUUCUUCUUAAUUCUUGACAAGAUUCAUCAUUAUUAUCAAUUUGUUUCAAUGGAAUCUCAUUCUCAUUUGAAGAAUGAAUCAAUUGUUGUGGUUGUAAUUGUCUUGAUAUAGAAUUAAAUCUAUUUUCAUCAAAAAUAGCAUCUCUUGAUUCAAUAACCGUAUUAAUUGAAAUUGAAUCAUUUGGUUCAAUUACUAUGAACCUAUAUGCCUUGCUAUUAUGUGCAUAACCUAUAAAUAUGCAUUCAAUUCCUCUUUCACCUAACUUUUUACGUUUAGGUGUUGGAACUUUUACAAUAGCUCUACAACCCCAAACCUUUAAAUAAUUAAGGUUUGGUUUCCUUUUCUUCCAUUGUUCAUAGAGGGUUAUUUUAGUUUCCUUAUUAGGAACUCUAUUCAAUAUAUGACAAGCUGUUAGAACAGCUUCUCCCCAAAAACCCUGUCCAAGACCUGAAUAUGAUAACAUUGAAUUUACCAUUUCAAUCAAGACUCUAUUUUUCCUUUCAGCUACACCAUUUUGUUGUGGUGUGUAAGGGGCUGAAACUUGAUGGACAAUUCCAGUGAGUUCAAAAUAACUUGGAUUAUAGUAUUCUCCACCUCUAUCCGAUCUUAAGCACUUGAUAAAUGAUUCACACUGAAGUUCAACUUCAGAUUUAUAAACUUUAAAUUUAUCAAGCGCUUCAUCUUUUGAAUGCAAUAAAUAUACAUAACAAUAUCUAGAACAAUCAUCAAUAAAAGUAACAAAAUAUUUCUUUCCACCUAAUGUAGGAGUAUUAUGCAAGUCACAUAAAUCACUAUGUAUCAAAUCAAGCAAUUUUGUUUUCCUUUUAACCUUAGGGAAAGGAUUUCUUGUAAUUUUAGUCAACAUACAGGUAUUGCAUUUUUCAAUAUUAUUAUUAAAAACAGGAAUUAAAUCUAAUUUAUACAUGUCAUUCAAUUUUCUAUAAUUCAAAUGACCUAAUCUAUAAUGCCACAAACAAAAUGAUUCAACCAUAUAAGCAGAAAUAGUAUUUUUAUUCUUAUUAAUAAUAUUAAGUUUGAACAUGCUUUCAUACAUAUACCCUUUUUCCCACAAAAAUUCCUCCCUUAGACAAAAUAAACUUAUCUGCCUCAAAAACAAGUUUGAAACCAAACUUAUUCAACAGACUUCCAGACACUAAAUUUUUCCUAACUUCUGGUACAUAAUAUACAUCAUUUAAGGUUAAAACCUUUCCAGAAGUGAAUUGUAGUUCAACAGACCCUUUGCCUUUAAUUUGCGGUGGAAGAAUUUCCCAUGUACAAGACAUUGUCAUUUUCACAUUGUGUGACUUUGUGAACAUGCUUUUGUCUUUGCACACAUGUUUGGUUGCUCCGGUAUCAAUCCACCAUGUAUUAUCAUCUUGUACCAUAUUAAUUUCAGAUAUCAUUGCAACGAACUUUUCGUUAUUAUCAGCCUUAGAAGAUGAUUUCUUCUUUAAAAAUCGAUAUUCAUUCUUGAAAUGUCCCGGCUUUCCACAAUGAUAGCAUGAGCCCUUUUGUUUCUUUUUGAACUUAGGUGCUCUAUCAGCCUGAUUGAACUUUCUUUUGAAUGGUUUAGUAGUCUGUACUUCCUCCGUAACAUGUACUUUGGCAUUUUCAGAAUUUAGGUUCUGAUCUUGUUGUCGAUACUCUUCUUCAAUACGAAGAUGAUUUGCCAAAGCCUCAAGAGAUAUUUCCUCUUUCUUAUGUUUUAGACUUCUUUUAAAGUCUUUCCAAGAUGGAGGAAGUUUGUCUAUUAUAGAGGAUACCACAAUUAUUUCAUCCAUUUUCAUAUCAUAUUGCUUAAAUUGAUUCAACAUCUUUUCAAUAUCACGAAAUUGUUCCAUAACAGAACGACCAUCAACCAUUUGAUAAUUAUUGAAACGACUGACAAGAAAUUUCUUACUUGUAACAUCUUCGGUCAUGUAUCUUGCCUCCAAUUUGUCCCAUAAAUCUUUAGCGGUGACGUCGUUUUGGUAGGUGUCGAACAAACCAUCAGAUAAACCAUUCAAUAUGUGGCCCAUGCACAUGUAAUCAGCAUUGUCCCAUUUUUGUCUUUCUCGGGUUGCAGCAAUAGAUUCGUUUUCAUUCUCUUCAGGUCUUGGAGUAUCCAAAACAUAAGCAAUCUUCAAAGUUGAUAACAAAAAGUGCAUCUUUUUCUGCCAUCGUCGAAAAUUGCCACCAUCAAAACGAUCAAGUUUAACAAAGUUGGAAGCCAACUCCCUUAGUGUUCCACUUUCAUGUGUUGUGGUAGUCAUCAUGAAAUAUAACCUUAAAAUUGUUAGUACAAAACUCCGGUAAGGAAAAAAACUCGAACACACGAUCGGAACUCGAAAAGAAAAAGAAGAAAUAGGACAGGCUCCAAGGCAUGUAUCAAGCCACUAUCUUUAAGGUUAUAUUCGCCCCCACUUAUCUUCAGUGUGCAAACGAGUUCCAAGCAAAUUAACCUCGAGGAUACAAUGAAGCCAAUGACUAUUUGCGUUUUGUACUGACGAGAAUAGUCCACUAUGCACUGAGUAAUGUAUAACAAAAACUCAAUUUCUACAAAGGAUUUCUGCAGCAAUACUUUAUAGAAUAAUCUAAUAAUAUUAGAAAAUGAAGGAAGAGAAGAAAUAGUAUUAGAAUUUGUUGAUAUGAUUUCCAAAUGAAAUCCCAUUCCUAUUUAUAGGAAUUUUCAUGUCUCUUCAUAGAGACAUCUUUCAAUAGGUGUCUUUAUGAAUAAAUAAAUAAUAAUAAUUAUUCAUUUAAUUUUGUAACUAUUCAAAUAAUAUUUUUUGAAUAGUUAUAAUUCUUUUUUAAAAAAUCAAAUGAUAUAACUUUUGACCAAUGACCAAAAGUUUUAUCUUUUGAUUAAUUACACCCAUUCAUUUAUAGUUAUUGGGAUACUAUAAAUAUUUGAAAAUAUUCCAACACAUUGCGGGCUACAUCUGUGAACAAAUCAAAACAAAUGGUACUAUAAUCAACAAAUGAAUAUAGGAAACAUAAAAUUUGAACAAAGGCGAUGUGCAGAGGAAAAAGCAACAACAUAAGACUUACAUUCAAGAAAUGGAAUAAGGUCUAAAAGUGCGGUAUCAUCAGUCUCGACCUUAUAUGGCUUAAUAUGGACACAAUUUUCUGGUUGAAGGCUAGAAUCAAAUGCAUGAGCACUCACAUAUAAAAUCUUGGUUGGAUCCCUGUUUAGCUUUGAAAGAUCCUGCCAACAGGAACUAUUUGUUAACAAUAAGGCUUCUUUUUAAGUAGCAGCUUGUAAAGGCACUGUCUCAUAUAUUAAUUCACAUAGUAUUGUAGAAACUAAGGAGGAGAAAACCAAAAGCAAAAUGUUUUGAAGGGAAGAGAUUGACUAUGACAUGGUAAAAGUAUCAUGGAGGCCCCUAUGUUAGGAGUUAGAUUGCCUUUUGCCCCCUUUACUCAAAAACUGGAUAAAUUAGUCCCUAUAUGUUAGAUUAAAGAGUAAGCUAGACUUUCUGUUAAAAAUUUCAUCCAUUGCUACUGUUAAAAACUGGUGCAGUUGAUAAAAUAACCAAACAGUUACACAUAAUGUGUCACGUGUACCUCAUGCUAAUGUAUAUGGACCAAUUUUUAACAGUAGAAAUGGAUGGAACUUGUAACAGAAGGGCUGGUUUGCUUUUUAAUCUAAUUUACAGGGAUUAAUUUGCCCAUUUUUUUAGUAAAGGGGUGAAAUGCAAUAUGACUCCUAGUAUAAGGGCCUCCAUGGUACUUUUACCACUAUGACAUACUCUAUAAUGCUUGCCAUCCUGAUAUUUAGUAGCACCCCUUGAUAGCCUAUAUCGUAUACAAUGGUUAGUGUCCAACCUUUCACAAGCAGGAUCAACAUACCGCAUAGCCAAAAACAAAAUAAUUAUGAACUUGCAGGCAACAUCAGUUAUAGUAUAUCUGAAAAAGAUAAGGAAAAAAAACUGUUACUUUCAUAUCUAAUUUCUUUAUAGUAUUAGGACAAACUAAACAAUGGAUAUAUCACAUUAUUAAGACUUAGCUAAGGAGCCGCUGAUAUACAUUCAAAUGAUCAAUCAUAAAGGAUGAACUAGGAGGCCUAAUGAUAAAUCAAAAUUACACCUAAACCAGUUAUAUGUCUAAAGGCAAUUGCACAUUAUAUCAAUCAAACAACUAAAAUAAAUAGAGAAAAUCCUUUAAAAUAUUCAAUUUCUAAACAAAAUCAAACUCACAUCAAUAGCAGAUCUUGACAAAGAAACCCAAAAUCACAAAUGAUCCUAUCUUUUUAAAAGGGGAAAAAGAAAACUUACUAUAAGAGAGAUAACCAGCAUAGCCAGUAGUUCCAGUAACACCUGCAAUGAGUCCGUACUUGACAAAGCUCUAAAUUUUCCCUCCCGAAACCUGUGGGGCAACUUUCGGCGCCAGAGGAGGAGGUGUCGACUGAUCGGAGAGAAUGGAUUGUGAAGAACAAUCCAAACUUAAUUUACAAGCAAUGUGGAAAUUUUGGACGUUGCAGUAUUGACUACGUUUACUUGAGGGAAAACAAAGACAUGAAUGCUGGAAAUUUUAACUAGUUUGUACGGUCAAUGAAGCUACCUCGAAUGUUAAAUAUGUUACUCUGCAAUGCCAUUGUAAAUAUGACUGUUAAAUUUGUUGAUAGCGGAAUUGUUCCACUCAAGUUAUUGUGGGACAAAUCAAGAAUUUGAAGAAAAGUGACAUUGCAUGUUAAACAAGAGACCUCUCCAUUGAAACUAUUAUUUGAGAUCAGAAAGACAUUGAUUGUCGAAGCUGGAAUCGGAAGAUUUCCACGGAUCAAAUAGGAGCUUAAGUCAAGAACUACAAUAUUCUUCCAUGGAAAGUGCAAAACUUCUGUCAAAGAGUUGCUGUAAUUGGAUUAAUCUCAUCGUUGCUGCAAUCUUUUGACAAAUCGAAUCUUAAAUAUGUUACUCUGCAACGCUAUUGUAAAUGUUACUCUUAAAUAUUACUCUGUAACUAGAUUGAUGGCUCAAUCUUGUUUUUAACAUUGUUAUGGGUAUUACUACUUUCAUGCUUUGAUACGCGAUACCCUCUUUCUAGGUGACAUUUUUGCUCCUUCCGGGCCACCAUGGGCUCUCUGCAUCACUCACCAACCUCAUUAGAUUCCCCGGGUGCCAUUUGGCCAUCUCAAGUCUCAAAAUAGCAUCAAAAUGCACUCUAAUAAUUUAUUAAUAUAAAGAACUAAAACAAAAUAAAAACACAACAAAGAUAUCUAAAUUGCACGAAAAUAAGCUUUUAAGUGUGAUGGAGAGUCUAAUUUGACAUAUCAAUUAAUGUUUGACUAUCUCCAUCUCACUUUUUAUUAAUUAAGGAAUAUGAAUUAGAAUUAAUAUAAACUUACUAUUUUAACAUUUCAUAAGCAAAAGCUAAAAUAAUAUUGGUCACAUCCCAUAUCUUCAUAUAUAGCUUAUCAGACAAAAGUUAAAACAGCCUUCAGUUCAUCUACAUUCUACAUUCCACGUCGAAUCUGCAAGCAUCAAAUAUUAACCUUUGAACUCCAAAAUAACAACACCAAUUUCCAGCAAUUGCAGAAGAAUGUCCAAUAAUUCCACACAAAUUAACAACAAUUUGCCAGCAUCCACUACAUUCGUAUGAAUUCCACACAAAUUAAGACUGGAAACUCUAACUUGUUCAUACCCUCAAUGAAGCUACCUAAAAGUUAUGAAUUCCACUGCAAAUUUUGUAUUGCUUGGAAUGAAUUGACUGUAAUUUCCUAUUACUUGCCACAAAAUUUUCUUUUACUGCUAACUUGUAAAAAAAUUAUGAAAAUACAACAGAGAUCAUUGAGACAUUUUGUUCUCCUUUCUCCUUUACUGAGCAGUAGCAAAGAUUAUCGAGACUAAAUUGAAAGUCAUGAAAGAAGACAUAAACAACACCACCAUACAAAAUGUUACACUCAAACAAACCAUUACAGAUAGUACGAAAUGCAAUGAAAGACACAGGAAUUGGUACAACAAUAAAGACAGACACAUACCAAUGCAACCCUUCACCAUAGGCAAAACGGUCUACAGAAUAAGAAAUUAUGAAAAUACAACACUAAUUCUUGAACAUCAUUUCCAGUAAUUAGAUCCUUCUUCGUCUAUUGCUUCGAUUGCCUUUCUUUGACUUUCUUCUUCGCCUCAUCUCUUGUUGGUUUUCAACCAAAUUCACCAACCAUUUCGGCUUACCAAUUUGGAAAACAACAUAUCCCACGGACAUUCCGAACACCACUCUGCAUCCAUAACCUAUCAACACCACUUUCCAACCAAAAGCAAUGUUUGAUUUUGAGCCAUCUUUUUCAAGCGCAUUUGGAGGUGCUGGCUCAAUGAUGUUGCAACCUUUCGAGACCGGAAACCCACACAGUCCAUUAUUCCCUUCAUAUGAAUCAUUUCCAAAUGUGUUGAAUUGUUUUCCUUGAGGAAUCUGACCAUGGAGUUGAUUUUCAGCGACAUUGAAGGACGAAAGAAAUGGCAGAUCUGCCAAUCUAUUUGGAAUCGUCCCAGACAACCUGUUUGAAGAUAGGUCCAACCAUUCAAUACUUGUCAAAUUCCCUAUUGAUGUGGGAUACCACCAUUAAGGUUAUUAUGAGAAAGGUUGAGCCCUUUCAGUAAGUUAAGCUUCCCAAAAACCUUUGGAAUACCCCCUUCAAACUGAUUGUUUGAUAGAUCAAUGAUCAUCCACAUGGUGAAAAUUUUCACCAAUUCCAUAUAUUGUCCUUUCAUAACAGUUCCGAUGGAAUAGGUAUAGAAGCCAUUACCUCUCGGAACAUACAUCCCCAUGUACGACAUUGUACUCCCAAUCUUCUCUAGAUUUAUGAUACCCUUGAAGCUGUUGAUGUAUCUCACUGGUAGGGGUCCAGAAAAAUAAUUACUUGAGAGAAAAAAAAUUUGGAUUUUAGAGAAAAAAGGGCUAGACUUGGAGCUAUUGUCACAUAAGGAACCAUGCAUAUGAUUUGACUUCAAUACAAGAACUUGUAGCUGUGGAAGACUUCCCAACCAAUGAGGAAAUGUAUCAUUGAUCUUGUUCUUCUUCAGAUUCAAGAAUUGAAGGCUGUAGCUCAAAUUUUCAAAACAUUGCGGAAUUGUUCCGCUCAAGUUAUUGUGGGACAAAUCACGAAUUUGAAGAAAAGUGACAUUGCAUAUUAAAGAAGAGACCUCUCCAUUGAAACUAUUAUUUGAGAUCAGAAAGACAUUGAUCGUCGAAGCUGGAAUGGGAAGAUUUCCACGGAUCAAAUUGGAGCUUAAGUCAAGAACUGCAAUAUUCUUCCAUGGAAAGUGCUCAACUUCUGUCAAAGAGUUGUGAGAUACAUUUAAGUCAAAGAGCCAUUGCCCACCUCUUGCAUCCACUGUGGAAUCUUGCCUUCAAUUUUGUUGCAAGAGAGGUCCAAGCUUUCCAAACUUUUAAGCCCUUAUAAAAACUGGGGGAAUUCACUAAGAUUGAAAGAUGACAAACGUAAGUCUAUAAGAUUAGACAAUAUAUGGUUAACACAAGAAGUAGUAUUAAAUGUUAAGGAUAGGCUGUUAUAUGAAAGGUCGAGAAGUUUUAGAGUUGGAAGGUUUGAGAACAUGCGAAACUCUAUGACACCACUAAGAUUAUUUGAGGAUAAAAGGAGGUGGGUAAGAUUGAGAAGUUGGAAUAUUGAAGAUGGAAGAGGACCUUGGAGUUUAUUAUUGUUUAACCUUAUCAAUUCUAGUGUUUUGGAUUGGAAUUCUUUGAUAUGCCCACUGAAUUGUUUUUAGAGAGAUCUAUUGUUUAACCACGUUAUUUUUCAGUGACGGAUCGAGAAAUAAAACUUAGGGGGAGCAGGGGCGAAGUUAGAAAAUUAGUUUGGGGUAAUCGAAAUUAAAUUAUAUAUUUUUAUGAUAGUAAAAAUAGAAUUUCGUCAUUUUAAUAGCCUAUAUCUUUAUAAUUUUUAGAGGAUUAAAUUAAUUUUUUAUCAUUUGAGGGGGGCAAAGUGCAAUUUUACCGUUAUUAAUUUAAAAUUUUAUAAAUUAUAAAUGGCCUAAAUUUUAAAAAAAAAAUCAUUUUAGGGGGUUGAGACCCUGUCAGCCCUCUCCCUAGACCCACCCCUAGUCUUUUUGAUACAAUUUGGCAGUUUAAGUACUUAAUUAGUGCAAAAAAAAAAAAACUAGGGGCUCAAUAGCUUUUUUUUGAAAAAGUUUGAGAGCCUUUUUGAUCCAUUUUGGCAGUUCAAAUGCCCAAUUCAGUGCAAGAAAAGAAGUAGGGGCUUAAUUAUUUUUUUUUAAAAAAAGUUUGAGAGCCUUUUUACACCAUUGAACCUUUUUUAUACUAAUUGGUAGACGCGAAGUUAUAAAUAUUUAAUUGUUAAUGUAAUUUUUAGAAUUUCUAAAGAAUAAUAAUAUUUAAAAUCUUAUAAUUUUUUUUAUUUCAUGUGCAUAAAAAACUUAAAUAAAUAAGUGUUUAGAUUUAGAUUAAUCACGCUGUCCAUUUAUUCAUAUUCAUUCUAGAGGUAUAACUUUUAGUUAUUUUAUAUGUUUUUAUAAUUAAAAAUAAUGGUAUAAAAGUCGAUUAAGUUUUAGCUCAAUUGACAUAGACAUUGUUGUUGAGGAGGACCUAUUGGUAGUUCUAGGCAUUGUGUCAAAAUGAACUAUAUUUGAUAAGAACCUAUAAUGAAAUUAAUGUUAAAAAAAUAAUAGUAUAAAAAGCUAAUAUUUUUAUAAAAGUUUCAUUUUUUUUUCAGUUUUUGGAUUUUUCUCAUAUAAAAUUUUAGAAUUGUUUCUUGAAUUUUUAUAGCUUUUCUUAUUAUGAUGUUAUAUAAUUUUAGAUUUUUAUACAUCUUUAAUAUUUUUUUAGUUUUUUAUUGUUUCUCAAAUAAUGCUUGGUUGAUGUAGCUUGCCAAGUGGUAUCGUGUUAUUGGCUGUCAAUUUCAAUAAUAAAAAAAUUUGGAGUUGAUUAGUUAUGAACUAACUCGAUUAAUCAAUUCUAAAUUUAAGUACUAAUUAAGUCCAAAAAAAGUUCAAAUUUCAAUUCAUGCAAGUUGGAUGGCAAUGAAACGGGAUUGGGGUGCGAAUAUUGUCAAAUUCACUAUUGUUUCAUAGUUGAUGUGUUUUGUCCCAUCACUCACCCCCGCUCCACUAUGGAUGUUUAAUUUUGAAAACCACUCACCCCAUGGAUGUUGGAUGCAUCCAUCCCUGCUUCACGUCGUGCCAUUUCAAUUUAAUUUUUAUUAGUUUUUUUAAAAAUAUUUUCAAUUUUUUUUUAAUUUUAAAAUAUUUUCAAUCUUUUUAAAACUUAUAAAUAUUUAAACAUAAUUAUUCAAGAAAAACAUUUAAACAUAAAACAUAUGAGUUUUUUAUAACAUAUUUUUACCCUUUAAUAGUUAUAAAUAUACAAGGGUCGAAUAGUAAUUUCAAAUAGUGAAAUAGAGUGGAUUGGGACAAACAAUUACCAUAACUGCUACACUUAAUCAUCGUAAAAAAAAAAAAAAAAAAUCUAUUUCAUCCCCGCCCAUAUUCCCUUUUAAAAGGAUCUACUCUAAAUGAAACAAACCAAUUCAAAAUCCAUUUAACAUCCUAAAUUCUAAAACUAAUUUUGAUAUGAAGUCUCAAUUAAAUUCAAGUAAUAAGGUUUUUUGAUAUGGUUUACACUACUAACUUCUAUAUGAAAACAACAACCAUUUCCCAUGAUGUUUGCGGCUUACCAACAAAUCCUUGCAGAUUUUCAACGUAGAAGAAAAUCAUGAAAAUAAAAAAAAAAAAAAAAAAAAAACUCUGGUUGGGAUUUGUUUCAUAUGGAAAACAGAAAACAAAACUUAAGUUAGUCAAAAUUACCAACUCACUGCUGACAACAUUUUUGUUGUAACCAAACAUUUGGAAGAAAAUAAACACAAGAGCACGCCGUUGACCUGUAUUUCUUUUAUUCUUCAAUUCUAUUUCAUCUUUAAGCUGUAACCAAUGAUAAUCAAAUCUUGACUUGCAUAAAAACCAAAGAAAACAAAAUGAAUGCAGCAGAAUUUUCUACCACAAAUGAGUAGUAAUUUACAGAUAAUAAAAUUAUCGAAAAACUAUUGAGAGUCGAAUUUCAUAUUAAUUGUGGUAUCCAUGAACUAGAAUGUAUUAAAAAAAGAAGGAUAUUGACCUUGAGACUACUUGCAAUUUUCAAAAACACUCUCAAUUCCUCUCCCCCUCUUCGGGCACCGGCCCAAGAUCCUGCCAUUGGCUACCACGCCGGCCGCUAGUCGCCAGCGCCGGCGCCGUGCAUGGAGGAGGAGAGUCCAAAAAUAUCCUUUUUUUUUUCUCACAUGCAGAUCCUCGGCCUCCAAACACUCCGACGACGGCUACAAAGGUAAAAAGGCCUCUCAUUUUUUAUUUUUAUAAUGCUUCAAAAUAAAAAAAUAAAAAAAAGGGAAAAAAUCACCUUUAAAAAAAACUGAUUCCUGUUUUUUAUUUCUCUUUGUUUUUUUUUUUCCAAAAGAGAACUCCCUUAAUUUUUCAUCUUUUUUAGCCCUUAAACCUACGUUGUUUAUCAAUAACCUUAAACUUACAUUGUUUACCGGAUGAAAAAUUUAAUAUUUAUUAACUUUGCUAAGGUGCACAUAUGCAAUUUAUUUAAAUCUAAAAACUAUAAAAUAUCUUAAAAUUAAAACUAAAAGUUUUUAAACUACUUGAUUGCUCCUUUCUCCUUUACUGAGCAGUAGCAAAGAUAAUCGAGACUAAAUUGAAAUCCAUGAAAGAAGACAUAAAACACCUCCAUACAAAGUGUCACACUCAAACAAACCAUUACAGAUAGUACGAAAUGCAAUGAAAGACAGAGGAAUUGCUACAAUAACAAAGACAGACACAUACCAAUGCAACCCUUCACCAUAGGCAAAACAAGAAAUUAUGAAAAUACAACACUAGUUCUUGAACAUCAUUUGCAGUAAUUAGAUCCUUCUUCGUCCACUGCUGCGAUUGCCUUUCUUUGACUUUCUUCUUCGCCUCUUCUCAUGUUGGUUUUCAACCAAAUUCACCAACCAUUUCGGCUUUCCAGUUUGGAAAACAACAUAUCCCACCAGCAUUCCGAACACUACUCCGCAUCCAUAACCUAUCAACACCACUUUCCAUUCAAAAGCAAUGUUUGAUUUUGAGCCAUCUUUUUCAAGCACAUUUGGAGGUGCUGGCUCAAUGAUGUUGCAACCUUUCGAGACCGGAAAUCCACAUAGUCCCUUAUUUCCUUCAUAUGAAUCAUUUCCAAAUGUGUUGAAUUGUUUUCCUUGAGGAAUCUGACCAUGGAGUUGAUUUUCAGAAACAUUUAAGGACGAAAGAAAUGACAGAUCUGCCAAUCUAUUUGGAAUCGUCCCAGACAACCUGUUUGAAGAUAGGUCCAACCAUUCAAGACUUGUCAAACUCCCUAUUGAGGAGGGGAUAUCACCAUUAAGGUUAUUAUGAGAAAGGUUGAGCCCUUUCAGUAAGUUAAGCUUCCCAAUAACCUUUGGAAUACCCCCUUCAGACUGAUUGUUUGAUAGAUCAAUGAUCAUCCACAUGGUGAAAAUUUUCACCAAUUCCCUAUCUUGUCCUUUCAUGACAAUUCCAAUGGAAUAGGUAUAGAAGCCACUACCUCGAGAAUCAUUCACCCCCAUGUACGACACCGUACUACCAAUCUUUUCUAGAUUUAUGAUAGCCUUGAAGCUGUUGAUGUAUCUCACUGGUAGGGGUCCAGAAAAAUAAUUACUUGAGAGGUCAAAAAUUUGGAUUUUAGAGAAAAAAGGGCUAGACUUGGAGCUAUUGACACGCAAGGAACCAUGCAUAUGAUUUGACUUCAAAACAAGAACUUGCAAAAAUGGAAGACUUCCCAACCAAUGAGGAAAUGUAUCAUUGAUCUUGUUGUUACCAAGAUCUAGCACUUCCAGACCAUUACAAUUAAGGAUGGAUGGUGUCAAAGGCCCUUCUAACAGAUUUCCAUUUAAGUUGAAAUUAGUCAGUUGGCAUCCCUUUGCAAAUGUUAGAGGAAUCGUCCCAUAGAACUCGUUCUUCUUCAGAUUGAAGACUUGAAGGAUGUUGCUCAGAUUUCCAAAACAUUGCGGAAUUGUUCCACUCAAGUAAUUGUGGGACAAAUCAAGAAUUUGAAGAUAAGUGGCAUUGCAUAUUAAAGAAGAGACCUCUCCAUUGAAACUGUUAUUUGAGAUCAAAAAGACAUUGAUGGUCGAAGCUGGAAUCGGAAGAUUUCCACGGAUCAAAUUGGAGCUUAAGUCAAGAAAUUCAAUAUUCUUCCAUGGAAAGUGCUCAACUUCUGUCAAAGAGUUGUGAGAUACGUUUAAGUAAGUCAAAGAGUCAUUCCCCACCUCUUGCAUCCACUGUGGAAUCUUGCCUUCAAUUUUGUUGCAAGAGAGGUCUAACCUUUCCAAACUUUUAAGCCCUUUUAAAAACUGGGGGAAUUCACUAAGAUUGCAAGAUGACAAAAAUAAGCUUCUAAGAUUAACAGUAGAUGUAGUAUUAGAUGUUAAGUAUAGGCUGUUAAAUGAAAGGUCGAGAUAUUUUAGAUUUGGAAGGUUUGAGAACAUACGUAACUCUAUGACACCACUUAGAUUAUUUGAGGAUAAAACGAGCAAGGUAAGAUUGAGAAGUUGGAAUAUUGAAGAUGGAAAAGGACCUUGGAGUUUAUUAUUGUUUAGAUAUAAAUGUUCUAGUGAUUUGGAUUGGAAUUCUUGGAUAUGCCCACUGAAUUGAUUUUGAGAGAGAAUUAUAACCUUUAAGGAGGGAGCAGUAUACAACCAUGACGGAAGUGUUCCAUUGAGUAAAUUGUCAGAUAAGCCUAAAUAUAUUAGAUUAGGAAAAGUGGUUACCUCAUCUGGAAUGGAUCCUUCUAAAGAAUUUUCAGAUAUUCCCAAGUAUUCCAGCUGGGUUAGGUUUAGAAUUGACAAUGGAAUUUGUCCACUCAAUUGGUUCUGCGACAAGUCUAAAUGAGUGAGUUGCAAGAGGUUCCCCAAUGAUAUUGGAAUUUGUCCACUCAAUUGGUUCUGCCACAAGUUUAAAUCAGUGAGUUGCAAGAGGUUCCCCAAUGAUCUUGGAAUUUGUCCACUCAAUUGGUUCUGCCACAAGUCUAAAUCAGUGAGUUGCAAGAGGUUGCCCAAUGAUCUUGGAAUUUGUCCACUCAAUUGGUUCUGCCACAAGCCUAAAUUAGUGAGUUGCAAGAGGUUCCCCAAUGAUCUUGGAAUUUUUUCACUCAAUUGGUUCUGCCACAAGCCUAAAUGAGUGACUUGCAAGAGGUUCCCCAAUGAUCUUGGAAUUUUUCCACUCAAUUGGUUCUGCCACAAACCUAAAUCAGUGAGUUGCAAGAGAUUCCCCAAUGAUCUUGGAAUAUUUCCACUCAAUUGGUUCUGCCACAAGCCUAAAUGAGUGAGUUGCAAGAGGUUCCCCAAUGAUCUGCCACAAGCCUAAAUGAGUGAGUUGCAAGAGUUUCCCCAAUGAUCUUGGAAUUUGUCCACUCAAUUGGUUCUCACACAAGUCUAAAUAAGUGAGUUGCAAGAGGUUCUCCAAUGAUCUUGGAAUUUGUCCACUCAAUAGGUUCUGUGACAAGUCUAAAUAAGCGAGUUGCAAGAGGUUCCCCAGUGAUCUUGGACCCGGUCCUGAUAAGUUGGAAUGGGAGAGAUCUAAAACCUUCAAGGACACAAGAUUCCCCAUCCAGUCAGGCAAUCCUCCAAAAAAAUUUGCGCCUCCAAGAAUCAACUACUCCAAAGAUGAUAAAUUUGUGAAUGAGACAGACAAUCCUUGAAAGAAGGAAUUUCCUGAGAGAUCUAAGUACUUUAAGGCCUGUAGAUUAUCAACUGAAUCAAUGAAUUCUGUAGAGAAGGACACGAACGACAGAUCCAAAUGUUCAAGAUUGCUGCUCCGAUUGAACUUCAAAGGAUCAAGAUUGAGGUUUUGGUUGCCUCCCAAGUUGAGGAGAUUGAGGUUUGGCAAAUCAAAAAUGUUUUUUGGGAAUUUUCCUUGCAAAUCACAAAAAGCAAGACUGAGAGACCUUAGAGAAGAGGAUAGAUUCAUGAAGACAUGAGCAUUAACAGAAGACAUGUCCAUUCCAUCCAAAAACAGAUGUCUGACCUCGGUUAGGUUGUGAACAAGUCCCUCCAGAGCAUGUUUGUCAAUUGUUUGUGCAUCACCCCAACAGGAGAGAUCAAGUGAAACCAAUUUUGACAGGUGGGAGACUUGGGAUGGGACUUCUCCUGCAAACCCUGUAUUGGAAAGGUUGAGGUAGAAUAGGCUUGUAAACCGACCUAAGUCGGAUGGAAUUUUGGAAAGAUUAAAAUCAUUGAAGGCAAGGUUGAGUUUUUGAAGGUGAGGAAGAAGGAAGAGAGUGGUAUUGGAAGGGAAGUUGCCAGAUAGCCAACUGCAGCUCAAGUCAAGGGCAAUAACAUGAGCAUUUAGGUGGUCACAAGUGACCCCAUCCCAUGAGCAGCAAUCUGUACCCUCCUUCCAUGAAUUUGUCUUGGGAUAAGAUUUAGGGCCGCAAGACGAAUAAGCAGCCUCUGUUAUGGAAAAAGAGUUCUUGAACUGGAUUAGUAAAGAGCAGGAGUGAGAUCCUGAAGAAGAAAAAGAAGCAUAAAGAUGGGGAAAGAAGAGGAAUAGGCAGAGAAAGAGACAGGGGGGCAUGUUAUGUUUGUAGAGGAAGAUGAAGGAUAGGAAUGGUAUUUAUAGGCAACAAAUAAUACAACAACAUUGGUGUUACAGUCUUUUUUAUUUUCUCGAGUUCUAUGAGUUUGUUUAAAUUCGCCGUGAAUACUCGAUUUUUUUUUACGUUUUUGAUUCAAAUACCGCUAAAAACAUUAAUCGGUUGCCAUUAAAUAUGUCAUUUUCUAUUAGCUGCAAGAAAACUAUCCGAUAAACUGCAUCUUCUUCUUUAGAUGAAAUUUUGUAAAAAAAAUUUGACAUUAUCUCUUAUAUGGUCCUUCAAUUUUAUUUAAAAAAUGAUUUUAACUCUCCAUUUAAUUUUUCAAACAAAUUAACGCAACAUUUUAGUUAUUGUCUACUGUCCAAUAAUGCCAUGUGUAUCAGUACAAACAUUCCCAUUUCUUUUUUUUUUUUUUCAUUUUCCCAAAAACUCAUUUCACUCUUAGCUUUAUAAAGAAAAAAAAAGUUAUUUUAGCCCUUAAUUUAAUUUUUCAUCUUCUUUAACCCUUAAACUUAUAUUGUUUAUCAAAUAACCCUUAAACUUGCAUUGUUUAUCAGAUGAAAAAAUUAAUAUCUAUUAACUUUGCUAACGUGCAUACAUAUGCAACCUCAUUUAAAUCUAAAAAAUAUAAAAAUAAUUAAAUAUGUAUAAAUCUAAAAAUAUCUUAAAAUUAAAACUAAAAUUUUUUAAACUAAUACAAAUUUUUAUUAUUUAAAAAAUCUUAAAAUUUUCAAAUUAAAUUCCAUUUGUUUUCCACCAUUGAAGAACACCUUCAAUCACAUCAACAACUUCAUACUAUUUUGCCUAGAAAUUGUUUUGCAAAUUUAUUUUGUUUAUUUAUUUCUAAACCCAUAUUUCUUUUCUAUAACCCCAAUGGUAGCAAAGGAAAUGUAAAAAAAAAAAAACUUAAAAAUCAAAUUUUUAAUGAUGAAGGGAAUUGAUUUAUAUUAAAACCAAGGAUUACACUGAAAAUACAAAGAGUUGAAGGUACUAAACAAGCAAAUAAACCCUAGCUACAGUGAUAAUUAACUUAACUAUCUACUAUUGGAACCAAGAAAAACUAAAAGAAAACAUGAAUUAAACCCUAGAGUUAUGAAGAAGAAAACAAAAACUCUAAAAAUAAAGAGAAAAAUUGAAAACCGUGAAAUGUUAAGUGUGCCCUUUGUUCAGCCAAUUUUUUGCCCUUUCUAGCAAAUUACAGAUCCAAAAAUAGUGACCAAAUUGUCUUUGAUGGUCUAAUUUUGGUUAGGGGGAAAAGGAUUACCCCUACGGUUAUUUUUUUGUCUCCUCCCAUCAAUGAUAUUGCGAUACCCAAAGUUUGGUAUCGCGAUAUCCACGACAGUCUUGAGGAUCCUUGGGAGUUUUGGGUAUCGCGAUACCUUAUGACCGUUAUCACGAUAACACUGUUGAUAUGCGGUACCCUCUUUCUAGGUGACAUUUUCGAUCCUUCUGAGCCACCAUGGGAUCUCUGCAUCACUCAUCAACCUCAUCAGAUUCCUCGGAUGCCAUUUGGCCAUCUCAGAUCUCAAAAUAGUAUCAAAAUGGACACUAAUCAUUUAUUAGUAUAAAGAACUAAAACUAAAUAAAAAAACGACAAAGAUAUCUAAAUUGCUUGAAAAUAAGUUUUUAAGUGUGAUGGAGAGCCUAAUUUGACAUAUCAAUUUACAACAGAUUAUAAACAUAAUUUGCGGAACCUUGUUAAAAUUUUGAUUUUCUUUAUUAGUUUCUUUCAAUAUUCUGUACGGUACAUUUGUAGUAAUAUAUUGUGCAGAUCAUAGACUACAUUGCUUUAUUAGUGUUCUAUUGUUAAUCUAUUAUUAUUAUUAUUAUUAUUAUUAUUAGCACCACUUCCUUUUUACCAUAUAAUUUUUAUUCAUAAAAAUGAAGAGUUGAUUUACUAAAGAAAGAAGAAGAAUUGAUGAGAUUAUAAAGUAUAUUGACUUGGUCUUGCUUCCUUUAUAUGUAUGAAUGUGGAAAUCGGCAUAAUGCCAACUUAUUUUCCACGCAGAGGAAGAAAAUGGUGCUCUCUUGUCACUCCCUUUAACUUGACAAAAUACAAGACAUGUGAUCCACCAAUGAAUGUUUGACUAUCUCCAUCUCACUUUUUAUUAAUCAAGGAAUAUAAACUUACUAUUUCAACAUUUCAUAAGCAAAAGCUAAAAUAAUAUUGGUCACAUCCCAUAUCUUCAUAAGACAAAAGUUAAAACAGCCUUCAGUUCAUCUACAUUCUACAUUCAUAUCAAUUGCACACAAAGUCAUAUCUGCAAGCAUCAAAUAUUAACCUUUCAACUCCAUAAUAACAACACCAAUUUCUAACAAUUGCAGAAGAAUGUCCAAUCAUUCCACACAAAUUAACAACAAUUUGUAGCAUCCACUACAUUCAUAUCAAUUCCACACAAAUUAAGACUGCAAUUUCUAACUUGUUUAUACCCUCAAUGAAGCUACCUAAAAGAUAUGAAUUUUUUAAUAUUAUAAAGUUAAGUGACCAAAACAUAAAUUUUCUACUAGAUUAGUACUUGAGGUGUAGUUUACCUUAUAAUAAAUAACUAUAAUAAAUUUGUGAAUCAAUUGCAUAAUUAAAUUAAGAUUUUCAAGCCUUUUACCAAACCAAACUUGAAAGGAGAAAAAGAAUCAUGAAAGAAUCCAGUUUUAAAAGCCUUUCACUUUUCCCAAGUCCAAUACACAAAUUCACAAGAUCCCACACUCUCAUUUAUCCUCUUCAAAAAGCAAGGUCCACAACAAAAGAUUAAUUUAGAUAUUAAUUAUUUUAUUUUAAUGGGAUAUAAUUUGAUAUUUUGUUUUUAUUUUAAUUAAGUGUGUUUAAAUUAGUGAUAUUUGUUAUAAUAAUUAAGUUAUACAUUCGGGAAGGUUGAUAAUAAUGUUCACACCAUAGAUGUUGUGAAGAGCCACUAAAAGUGACAAUUUAUCUAUGCUAAAAAGGUGUUUGAAUAGAGUAAUAUUGGACAAUGUCCUACCUCAAGACCCAAAAGGGAUGCCAAUUUAAGACCCAAGGAAGCCUUCGACUUAUCUCACUUGUGUAAGGAGCUAGAGUUAUCUCUUUACUAUUAACAACAUAAUUAAUCAUAUUCUAUAAUUCACCUUUAAGGUGUCUUAUUCACUUGUUUAGGUCAACUAUACCAAAUUCAGCAUUUUAUUUCGCCAAACCAAAAUUGUCAUUUGCCAUAUAGGGAUCGCCAAGCCUAUAAAAGCCAAAAUCUUUUCAAAGAUUUGCCUCGUUUAGCUCGAUUCUUCAAUUUAUCUUCUCAAUCUCAAUUAUUAACGUUUGUCUCUCUAACUUGCCUCCUCAAAUUUAAUCAUUAAAACUAAAUGCAUUACGUGCUCACCAUACUACAAGAACAUAAACUUAUUUAUUUCAAGAGGAUCACUUUAUAAAUUUCCAUCAAUUAGGGAAAAAUUAUUAUACCUCUAUAAGUAUAUUUUAAAAUAUGGCGAUAUUUCAAGAUAGCACCUAUCACAUUUCAAUAAAACUCAUUAUAUAUCUACCACCAUCAUAAUUAAGUAAUAGAGCAUCAUUCUAUAUGGACACACAUCAAGCUCAUUUCCUUUUAUGUUAAUUAUUCACGUAAUUCUAAUUUUCAAUUAUUUCCUUAAAUAUUAAAAAUAACUACUCUGUUAAUGCCAUGUAGCUAUUUUGAUUAAUGAUUUCCAUUUAAUUUGUUUUCCUCCUGACUUGGAAAUGUGGACUUGACAACAAAAUGAAAUUUGAGCAUGACACCUUAAUUUUGUGGUUGGUUUGACGAAUACUGAAGGUUGGUCAUCUUGAAACAUAUAUAAAAUUAAAUGAUUGAAUUAUUGAAAUUAUUAAAUAAAAUAAUUAUGAAAUUAGAAUUUAAGGUUAGAGGUUAUUUUUAGAAUUUUAAAUUUUCUUUUACUGCUAACUUGUAAAAAAAUUAUGAAAAUACAACAGAGAUCAUUGACACAUUUUGUUCUCCUUUCUCCUUUACUGAGCAGUAGCAAAGAUUAUCGAGACUAAAUUGAAAGUCAUGAAAGAAGACAUAAACAACACCACCAUACAAAAUGUUACAUUCAAACAAACCAUUACAGAUAGCACGAAAUGCAAUGAAAGGCAGAGGAAUUGGUACGAUAAUAAAGACAGACACGUACCAAUGCAACCCUUCACCAUAGGCAAAACGGUCUACAGAACAAUAAAUUAUGAAAAUACAACACUAAUUCUUCAACAUCAUUUGCUGUAAUUAGAUCCUUCUUCGUCUAUUGCUCCGAUUGCCUUUCUUUGACUUUCUUCUUCGCCUCUUCUCUUGUUGGUUUUCAACCAAAUUCACCAACCAUUUCGGCUUACCAGUUUGGAAAACAACAUAUCCCACCGACAUUCCGAACACCACUCCGCAUCCAUAACCUAUCAACACCACUUUCUAACCAAAAUCAAUGUUUGAUUUUGAGCCAUCUGUUUCAAGCACAUUUGGAGGUGCUGGCUCAAUGAUGUUGCAACCUUUCGAGACCGGAAACCCACAUAGUCCCUUAUUCACUUCAUAUGAAUCAUUUCCAAAUGUGUUGAAUUGUUUUCCUUGAGGAAUCUGACCAUGGAGUUGAUUUUCAGAAACAUUGAAGGACGAAAGAUACUGCAGAUCUGCCAAUCCAUUUGGAAUCGUCCCAGACAACCUGUUUGAAGAUAGGUCCAACCAUUCACAACUGGAUUAGUGAAGAGCAGGAGUACUGAGAUCCUGAAGAAGCAUAAAGAUGGGGAAAGAAGAGGAAUAGGCAGAGGAAGAGAUAGGGGGCCAUGUUAUGUUUGUGGAGGAAGAUGAAGGAUAGGAAUGGUAUUUAUAGGCAACAAAUAAUACCACAGUGUUACAGUCUUUUUUUCUUUUACGUUGAGAAGCUAUAGACAUUAGAUUUUCAAAAUUUUUGUAUUUUUCACAAUCAUCAACAACGACUUAGUCUUCUUUUUACCAUAUAUUUUUCAUUCUUAAAAUUGGAUAUUAGAUUUUCAAAAUAUUUGUAUUUUUCACAAUCAUCAGCAAAAUCUUGUAUUUCGUUUGAACUGUCUAAACAACUAAAAAAAUUAAGAUUGAUGAGAGUACAAAGUAGAUUGACUUAGUCUUUUUUCUCAUAACCCUUAAAGAAUGUGUGUAUCUAUUCACUUGCAGGUCAACCAAAGCUAAUUAAUGUGGAAAUUCUUUUUCACAACAAAAUUGUACUCUAUUCACUACGUUUGAGGAAGAAGACUGUUGGAAAUUUAAUCCACCGAUUCCAUAAAAACGUGUAUACUUAUAUAUAUAUAUAUAUAUAUGUAUAACCUCAUAUAAAAUCUGAUAAAUUUAUUUGGGAAUAGUUAUUUUUCAUUCGUUAAUUAUUUCUCUUUUAAUCAAGUAAAAAAAUUAAAACUAAAAAGACAUUAUGAUUUAUUUGGCAUUUUUUAACUUCACAAAUAAAACGUCAUUUUAACUUUCUAUUCUUUUUUUUAUCUCUUUUAGCCUUGAAACUUAUAUGGUUCGUUAAAUCACUCAUUGAUGACAUAUUAACCUUUGAGUUAAACUCAAAUUGCUCUUCUCUUUGUUAUAAAUUAAGAGUAUAACUAAUUUUGAUAAAAAUGGUUACUUUUCAUUAACUUAGUUUAAAGGACUAUAACACGUAAAGUUUGGUCUAUUGCAGAAUUCACAUGUAAUGUGGGACAUUUUUUAACUUUACAAACAAAAAGUCAUUUGCGCCACAAUGUACAAUACUUCCACACCAUCUGCAGUAUUGCUACGUUUACUUGAGGGAAAACAAAGACAUGAAUGCUGGAAAUUUUAACUAGUUUGUACCGUCAAUAAAGCUACCUACCUAAAAGCCAUUUAGGAUAUCAAUUCCUGUAAUUGGAUUAAUCUCAUCGUUGCUGCAAUCUUUUGACAGUGUAAUCCAAUCUUAAAUAUGUUACUCUGCAGUGCUAUCGUAAAUAUUACUCUUAAAAUUGUGGAUAGAUAUAUAGGUUUGGCACAAAAUUAAGAAUACACAAAGGCAGGAUGAAUCAUUCCAUGUUUGAACAUCUGCAACAUAAAUGCAUAUGGCAAAAGGGCUCAAACCAUACCUUAUGUUCAUGAUGUUAACAUUAAUGGGAGACAACAUUAAUGGCAAACAAUACAAAGUGGUGCAAGUUUAGCACCCUAAAGUUGACUUUGAAAAAGUGGCAUGGGAUAAAUUUUUUUGGUCCUUGAGAUAAUGGGCUAUUUAUUGUUUGGUCCUUAAACUUCAACUAUAAAUAGGCCUUCUCAUUUCUCAUUUCAAUUCAUCCCAACCAAUCUUUCUCUCUUAGUUUUCUCUCUUCUCCCAUUUGAGAAUUCUUAAGGAAUUCAAUUUGUUUGUAAUACUUUGGAGAUAGUAAAGUUAUCAUCUGGUGUUAGUGCCCGAGGACGUAGGUAUAAUUUACCGAACCUCGUUAAAACUCUUGUGUUCUUUCUUGUCCUAUUUUUCUUUCAAUAUUUGAGGGUAUAAUAGUAGUAUUUAAUUGUGCUAUUAAAUUACUAUAGAAGGGAUAUUCUGUCUAAGGAAAGACUUGGUAUUUAAGAGAUCCAUGUGAUCCACCUCUCUUCCCUGGGAAUUGAACUUUGUGUGAUUUUUUAGUACAAUAAUUUACACGCUUCCGACCCUAUUGGAACAAUACAUGAAUUCUCAUCAUCACGUGUUUAUAAAUGCAACUCAAACUUCAAUAAUUGAAUCUUUUGUAAUUCUACAUGUAUUUUUUUUUAUGGUGAGCAGUAUAAUAUUUACUAAAAAUUGAAAUUCAAGAAAGAAGCCAUACAUAGUUGCACCAUACAAGAUGUUACACUCGAACUAAACCCUUACAAAUAGUACAAAAUGCAAUGAAAUACAGAGGAAUUGGUACAAUCAUAAAGACAGACACAUACCAAUGCAACUUUUCACCAUAGGAAAAACUUUCUGACAGACUACUAAACAAGAAAUUAUGAAGACACAGCAGAAAGGCUUUAACUUCAUUUGCACCAACUAUAUCCUUCUUCAUCCAUUGAUGCGAUUGCUAUAUUUUGGUUUUCUUCUUCGCCUCUUCUCAUGUUGGUCUUCAACCAAAUUCACAAUCCUUUUCGCUUCUUCUGAGCCACCAUGGGCUCUCUGCAUCACUCACCAACCUCAUCAGAUUCGCCGGGUGCCAUUUGGCCAUCUCAGGUCUCAAAAUAGUAUCAAAAUGCACACUAAUCAUUUAUUAAUAUAAAGAACAAAAACUAAAUAAAAAAACAACAAAGAUAUCUAAAUUGCUUGAAAAUAAGCUUUUAAGUGUGAUGGAGAGCCUCAUUUAACAUAUCAAUUUAUAGUAGAUCAUAAACAUAAUUUGCGGAACAUUGUUAAAAUUUCGAAUUUCUUUAUUAGUUUUCUUUCAAUAUUCUGUAUGGUACAUUUGUAGUAAUAUAUUGUGCUGAUCAUAGACUACAUUGCUUUAUUAAUGUUCUAUUGUUAAUCUUUUAUUAUUAUUAUUAUUAUUAUUAACACCACUUCCAUUUUAUCAUAUAAUUUUUUUUCAUAAAAAUGAAGAGUUGAUUUACCAAAAAAUUGUAUUUCAUUUGAACUCCCUAAAGAAAGAAGAAGUGAUGAGAUUAGAAAGUAUAUUGACUAGGUCUUGCUUCCUUUAUAUGUAUGAAUGUGGAAUUUGGCAUAAUGCCAACUUAUUUUCCACGCAGAAGAAAAUGGUGCUCCAUCCACUCUGUUUAACUUGACAAAAUACAAGACAUGUGAUCCACCAAUGAAUGUUUGACUAUCUCCAUCUCACUUUUUAUUAAUCAAGGAAUAAAAACUUAACAUUUCAACAUUUCAUAAGCAAAAGCUAAAAUAUUGACCUUUGAACUCCAUAAUAACAUAAGUUAAAACAAAAGUUAAAACAGCCUUCAGUUCAUCUACAUUCCACAUCAAAUCUGCAAGCAUCAAAUAUUGACCUUUGAACUCCAUAAUAACAACACCAAUUUCUAACAAUUCCAGAAGAAUGUCCAGUAACUCCACACAAAUUAACAACAAUUUGCAGCAUCCACUACAUUCAUAUCAAUUCCACACAAAUUAAGACUGCUUGUUUAUAAAGCUACCUACUGCAAAUUUUGUAUUGCUUGCAAUGAAUUGACCGUCAUUUUCUAUUACUUGCCACAAAAUUGGAAUUCUGAUAAGUUUAAUUUGGAAUAUGAUCAAUUUUGGUUAAAUUGGAGUGAAUAUUACUAUUUCUGUUUUAGCAAUUAAAGCAACCUAUAUGUACCCUUUUACACUCUGCAUUGUUCCAUGUUUCAAUUCAUUACAUCAUUCCUUCAACUCUGCUAUAUAUUAUCACCGUCUCCACAUAACCAAACCUUUUACUGCUAACUUGUAAAAAAAUUAUGAAAAUACUGUCGAAACCAUUUUUUUAUUUGAAAAAUGAGAGUCGACUUUAAGAAACAAAAAUGAGAGUCGCUACCAAUCUUUUUUGAGGUGUGAUCAUAUGCGCAAGAAAAUUUGCUCUCACUUACUCUCGAAAUUUACAGUAGGGGCUUAGGCUACCAAUAAAUUCUCAAUUAGAUAAUGAAUCAUCUACGAGCAACGAUUCCAAACCACAAUGAAUUGAGAGCUCAAACUAGCUCUUCCUCUAACUCAUAGAAGGCUCUAAUGAAUCCGAGGCUUCACACAUGACAAUCACACAAUACUCACAAUCAAAUGACAGCCAAGGACCCACUUAAACUAACCAAAACACAAGCCUAAGCUACCUUCUCAUGUAACCAAACCCUUUAGCAUGAUGAAAUUAAAAUGCAAAUAUAUUGAUCUACACUUAACAUUUUCACAAGAAACAAGUUUCAUUCAUCGCCAUAUUCAUCUAUAACUAAACUCCAACCUUUAAACCACACAAAACUAUACAUUUCAAGGUAUCGACAUUUUUCGACAAGUUUUGGCUAUAAUAAUGAAAAUUCAUUAAAACACGAGAAAUCUUUAAUAGAACUUAGAAGUAAUUUUAGAAACCUUCUAAUCAAGUUAAAACAAGUUGAAAAACACUUUUAAAUCACAUUUUUAUCCACAAUCUCAAAUUCCACUAUUAAUGACCCAAUUUUUGGGUUUUAAUUAAAACAUGUCAAUUUUAAAAUCUAAAUAACAUUAAAAAUUAAUGGUAAAGUAAAUGGUUACUUUUGAUGGGAGAUUAAUUGAGUUUUGACGUAAAUUUGAAAAACGAAGAAGAUGAUGAAAUCUAUGGCAUUUUUGAGUGUUUUUCUUAGAGAUUUAUGAAGGUAAUUGACUUGGGAGUUAUAAGAAAUCAAAGUAUUAUUGUUUGGGAAUAAAAUAAAUAAAUUGAAAGAUGAAGGGAAUAGCAAAGGACGGCAAUAGCAAACUUUGGAGAGUAACCAUCGUGAAAUAGAACUGGGAUUGGGGUUUAUUAGGUUCAAUUUUAAAAAUUGGUAAAACUGCAAUAUAAGUGCUCACUAUUUUAACUUUGUUACAAAUUAUUCCUUUUUUUCUAAAAUUUAGAAAUUUAAAACUCAUUUUCAGAAAUUGACUCCAUUCCCUAAUAGCCAUUGUAGAAAACAUUAUCAAAUACUAACCUUAAGAAAUUUGAGCGCAUAUAGGCUAAAAUUCCUAAAAUACACUCGAAAUUCUUAGACCCUAUUUUGGAGUGUUACACACAUGGUCAUGAUUCAUGUUGAAUUAAUCCAUCAUUCACCGUAAUAAGACUUGUCAUUGUAAUAAUUUAUUUUGAUACGUAUUAUUUUAUGAUGCAUAAACAUCAUAAAAUUUUCUAUUAUGCAAUAAUAGAAUUAGUUAAAUCAUCUAAUAUCUAAAAAAUUAUUAUUAUUUUAAUAAAAUCAUUCAUCAAAUUCCUGUUUUCAAAUUUCAUACAUGAAAUUAACAAAUAAAGAUAGCUCUAAAUAGCAAAACAUGGUAGGAUGGUUUUGUUGUGCAAACUUAGGAUUUCAAUUCUCAUCAAGGAACUUGCAAGCCUAUUAUAGUAGAAAUGUUCUAUCCAAAUGAUAAAGAUGUUGAUGCAACAUUUUAGAUUGCAAAUUCCUUGAUCACAUUUGGAAUCCUAAGCACAGGGACUUGCAAGCCUCUUAGCUCCAGGAACUUUAGAUUGUACCUGUUCAAAACAUUUUUCAAAGAAGGAACCAUAGGCGUCUAUUCUGGUUCAUCUCAUUGAAUACAUCAAAUGGAGGAUCAAUACGCUGAAAAAGGGACAACGGAAAGAACUUUAGCCAAUAACUUGAAUUUUAUAACUACUCCUAUGCCAACCAGCAAACCAUAACAACACAAAUGUUUGUUCUGUUAAGGAACAAUACACAGACAUAUUCACCUACCCUUGGUGCUGACAGAAUAUGCCCAUUCACUUGGGUGAAAUUAGAGUUGAUAUUAACCCCACAAGAUUUCUGCACCAUAAUUACUGCUAAGUAAAACCUGCACAUCAAUUUUCAUUCUUCACUAGAAACUGAAUCUAUUUUUGUAAGUAAAAAUUAGUUGUAUUCAUUGUUCACAUAAUUGAUCUUUUGUUGUGGAAGUAUUGUAUUUCCGGUAAUCCAUUAAGUAUUCAGUGUUUGAUGCAAUAGAUUUGUAUUUUAUUAUUUUAUUUUGUGGAAGGAUCCUUUAUCUAUUUUGUUUUUUACAUUUCUGAUAAGUUUACAUUUUUCAGUAAUUAACUUAUGUUGUUUUUGCCAAACUUUGUAGCGUUUCACUUUUGGUAAAAUUUCAUCCUUGGUCCCUUUAAACUCCUUUUUGCUUUAAUUUGAUUGCUUUCUAGCGUUGCAAAUUACAUGACACUCUUCAAAUGUCUUACUAAAUUCUCACUUCUACGAGUGCUAUGAUAAUCAAAUAAAGUUCAAUUCAAUUUUAAGUUCCAUACAACACUUACAAGGCUACAAAAUGUGUCCUCAACCACAAACAAUCCAAAUUUGCAGAGAAACCACCCAUUAUAUAUAGGUUUGCCAAUGAGAUGGCAAGCAGACUGCUAGCUAGAAAUUCAUGCAUCUUUGAAUCACCAAUUCAAUUAAUAAGCUUAACUAGAGGAAAUAAGGACUUUACAUCCACCAAUUAAAGCAACCUAUAUGUACCCUUUUACAGUCUUCAUUGUUCCAUAUUUCAAUUCAUUACAUCAUUCCUUCAAUUCUGCUAUAUAUUAUUACCGUCUCCAGAUAACCAAACCUUUUACUGCGAACUUGUAAAAUAAUUAUGAAAAUACAACAGAGAUCAUUGAGACAUUGUUGAAGCUGGCUUGGAUGAAUGCCAAGCUGUCCGAGCCAUGCAAGUCGCGGCUGAAGCUUAUGCUGCUGUUUUGCUACUUUCAAAUAGAUAUUUUAUUACUUAGUUAGAUAUGAACUAAGUUUUUGAUAUGCUUGAUGUACUUAGGUGCUGAUAGAUUGAUAAAUCAGCUUUACCAAGUGUACAAGCAAUGUUUAUAAAAGAAUAAUAUUACAUAACUAAACUAAAUAACUAAAUUAAAUAAUAUUAUAAAGUUAAGAGACCAAAACAUAAAUUUUCUAAUAGAUUAGUACUUGAGGUGUAGUUUACCUUAUAAUAAAUAACUAAACUAAAUUUGUGAAUCAAUUGCAUAAUUAAAUUAAGAUUUUCAAGCCUUUUGUGAUUGGUAUUGGACCAAACCAAACUUGAAAGGAGAAAAAGAUUCAUGAAACAAUCCACUUUUAAAAGCCUUUCACUUUUCCCAAGUCCAAUACACAAAUUCACAAGAUCCCACGCUUUCAUUUAUCCUCUUCAGAAAGCAAGGUCCACAACAAGAGAUUAAUUUAGAUAUUAAUUAUUUUAUUUUAAUGGGAUAUAAUUUGAUAUUUUGUUUUUAUUUUAACUAAGUGAGUUUAAAUUAAUGAUAUUUGUUAUAAUAAUUAAGUUACACAUUCGGGAAGGUUGAUAAUAAUGUUCACACCAUAGAUGUUGUGAAGAGCCACUAAAAGUGACAAUUUAUCUAUGCUGAAAAGGUGUUUGAAUAGGAGUAUUGGACAACGUCCUACCUCAAGACUCAAAAGGGAUGCCAAUUUAAGAUCCAAGGAAGCCUUUGACUUAUCUCACUUGUGUAAGGAGCUACAGUUAUCUCUUUACUAUUAACAACAUAAUCAUAUUCUAUAAUUCACCUUUAAGGUGUCUUAUUCACUUGCUUAGGUCAACUAUACCAAAUUCACCUUUAAAGCAUUUUAUUUCGCCAAACCAAAAUUGUCAUUUGCCAUAUAGGGAUCGCCAAGCCUGCAAAAGCCAAAAUCUUUUCAAAGAUUUGCCUCGUUUAGCUUGAUUCUUCAAUUUAUCUUCUCAAUCUCAAUUAUUAACGUUGUCUCUCCAACUUGCCUCCUCAAAUUUAAUCAUCAAACGUGCAUUACGUGCUCACCAUACUACAAGAACAUAAACUUAUUUAUUUUCAAGAGGAUCACUUUAUAAAUUUUCAUCAAUUAGGGAAAAAUUAUUAUACCUCUAUAACUAUAUUUUAAAAUAUGGCGAUAUUUCAAGAUACCACCUAUCACAUUUCAAUAAAACUCGUUAUAUUUCUACCACCAUCAUAAUUAAGUAAUAGGGCAUCAUUCUAUAUGGACACACAUUAAGCUCAUUUCCUUUUAUGUAAAGUCCUCUACAUAACUUAAAAGGGAUGGAAAACAUAGAGCAAAACUCUAUAUAUCCAUUCUCUCCUAAAGCUUUCAACUCACUCUUAACAAUACUACCACUACCAUGUGAAUCACCCUUAACUGUUAACCUUUUAAAAAUAACUACUCUGUUAAUGCCAUGUAGCUAUUUUGAUUAAUGAUUUCGUUUAAUUUGUUUUCCUCCUGACUUGGAAAUGUCGACUUGACAACAAAAUGAAAUUUGCGCAUGACACCUUAAUUUUGUGGUUGGUUUUGUUGGAAUAUUUUCAAAUAUUUAUAGUAUCCCAAUAACUAUAAAUGAAUGGGUGUAAUUAAUCAAAAGAUAAAACUUUUGGUCAUUGGUCAAAAGUUAUAUCAUUUGAUUUUUUAAAAAAGAAUUAUAACUAUUCAAAAAAUAUUAUUUGAAUAGUUACAAAAUUAAAUGAAUAAUUAUUAUUAUUUAUUUAUUCAUAAAGACACCUAUUGAAAGAUGUCUCUAUGAAGAGACAUGAAAAUUCCUAUAAAUAGGAAUAGGAUUUCAUUUGGAAAUCAUAUCAACAAAUUCUAAUAUUAUUUCUUCUCUUCCUUCAUUUUCUAAUAUUAUUAGAUUAUUCUAUAAAGUAUUGCUGCAGAAAUCCUUUGUAGAAAUUGAGUUUUUGUUAUACAUUACUCAGUGCAUAGUGGACUAUUCUCGUCAGUGCAAAACGCAAAUAGUCAUUGGCUUCAUUGUAUCCUCGAGGUUAAUUUGCUUGGAACUCGUUUGCACACUGAAGAUAAGUGGAGGCGAAUAUAACCUUAAAGAUAGUGGCUUGAUACACGCCUUGGAGCCUGUCCUAUUUCUUCUUUUUCUUUUCGAGUUCCGAUCGUGUGUUCAAGUUUUUUUCUUACCGGAGUUUUGUACUAACAAUUUUAAGGUUAUAUUUCAUGAUGACUACCACAACACAUGAAAGUGGAACACUAAGGGAGUUGGCUUCCAACUUUGUUAAACUUGAUCGUUUUGAUGGUGGCAAUUUUCGACGAUGGCAGAAAAAGAUGCACUUUUUGUUAUCAACUUUGAAUAUUGCUUAUGUUUUGGAUACUCCAAGACCUGAAGAGAAUGAAAAUGAAUCUGUUGCUGCAACCCGAGAAAGACAAAAAUGGGACAAUGCUGAUUACAUGUGCAUGGGCCACAUAUUGAAUGGUUUAUCUGAUGGUUUGUUCGACACCUACCAAAACGACGUCACCGCUAAAGAAUUAUGGGACAAAUUGGAGGCAAGAUACAUGACCGAAGAUGUUACAAGUAAGAAAUUUCUUGUCAGUCGUUUCAAUAAUUAUCAAAUGGUUGAUGGUCGUUCUGUUAUGGAACAAUUUCGUGAUAUUGAAAAGAUGCUGAAUCAAUUUAAGCAAUAUGAUAUGAAAAUGGAUGAAAUGAUUGUGGUAUCCUCCAUAAUAGACAAACUUCCUCCAUCUUGGAAAGACUUUAAAAGAAGUCUAAAACAUAAGAAAGAGGAAAUAUCUCUUGAGGCUUUGGCAAAUCAUCUUCGUAUUGAAGAAGAGUAUCAAAAACAAGAUCAGAACCUAAAUUCUAAAAAUGCCGAAGUACAUGUUAUGGAGGAAGUACAGACUACUAAACCAUUCAAGAGAAAGUUCAAUCAGACUGAUAGAGCACCUAAGUUCAAAAAGAAACAAAAGGGCUCAUGCUAUCAUUGUGGAAAGCCGGGACAUUUCAAGAAUGAAUGUCGAUUUUUAAAGAAGAAAUCAUCUUCUAAGGCUGAUAAUAACGAAAAGUUCGUUGCAAUGAUAUCUGAAAUUAAUAUGGCACAAGAUGAUAAUACAUGGUGGAUUGAUACCGGAGCAACCAAACAUGUGUGCAAAGACAAAAGCAUGUUCACAAAGUUCACACAAUGUGAAAAUGACAAUGUCUUGUACAUGGGAAAUUCUUCCACCGCAACAAUUAAAGGCAAAGGGUCUGUUGAACUACAAUUCACUUCUGGAAAGGUUUUAACCUUAAAUGAUGUAUAUUAUGUACCAAAAGUUAGGAAAAAUUUAGUGUCUGGAAGUCUGUUGAAUAAGUUUGGUUUCAAACUUGUUUUUGAGGCAGAUAAGUUUAUUUUGUCUAAGGGAGGAAUUUUUGUGGGAAAAUGGUAUAUGUAUGAAAGCAUGUUCAAACUUAAUAUUAUUAAUAAGAAUAAAAAUACUAUUUCUGCUUAUAUGGUUGAAUCAUUUUGUUUGUGGCAUUAUAGAUUAGGUCAUUUGAAUUAUAGAAAAUUGAAUGACAUGUAUAAAUUAGAUUUAAUUCCUGUUUUUAAUAAUAAUAUUGAAAAAUGCAAUACCUGUAUGUUGACUAAAAUUACAAGAAAUCAUUUCCCUAAGGUUAAAAGGAAAACAAAAUUGCUUGAUUUGAUACAUAGUGAUUUAUGUGACUUGCAUAAUACUCCUACAUUAGGUGGAAAGAAAUAUUUUGUUACUUUUAUUGAUGAUUGUUCUAGAUAUUGUUAUGUAUAUUUAUUGCAUUCAAAAGAUGAAGCGCUUGAUAAAUUUAAAGUUUAUAAAUCUGAAGUUGAACUUCAGUGUGAAUCAUUUAUCAAGUGCUUAAGAUCGGAUAGAGGUGGAGAAUACUAUAAUCCAAGUUAUUUUGAACUCACUAGAAUUGUCCAUCAAGUUUCAGCCCCUUACACACCACAACAAAAUGGUGUAGUUGAAAGGAAAAAUAGAGUCUUGAUUGAAAUGGUAAAUUCAAUGUUAUCAUAUUCAGGUCUUGGACAGGGUUUUUGGGGAGAAGCUGUUCUAACAGCUUGUCAUAUAUUGAAUAGAGUUCCUAAUAAAGAAACUAAAAUAACCCCCUAUGAACAAUGGAAGAAAAGGAAACCAAACUUUAAUUAUUUAAAGGUUUGGGGUUGUAGAGCUUGGGGUUGUAGAGCUAUUGUAAAAGUUCCAACACCUAAACGUAAAAAGUUAGGUGAAAGAGGAAUUGAAUGCAUAUUUAUAGGUUAUGCACAUAAUAGCAAGGCAUAUAGGUUCAUAGUAAUUGAACCAAAUGAUUCAAUUUCAAUUAAUACGGUUAUUGAAUCAAGAGAUGCUAUUUUUGAUGAAAAUAGAUUUAAUUCUAUAUCAAGACAAUUACAACCACAACAAUUGAUUCAUUCUUCAAAUGAGAAUGAGAUUCCAUUGAAACAAAUUGAUAAUAAUGAUGAAUCUUGUCAAGAAUUAAGAAGAAGUAAUAGGAUUAAAAAGGUCAAAGAUUUUGGACCAGAUUUCAUUAUGUUUCUUGUAGAAGGAAAAGGUGAAAGUAUAUGCAAUAAGAUACCUUAUUGUUAUAAUACCGAAUCUGAUCCUAUUACAUUUGAAGAAGCAGUGAAAUCUCAAGACUCUGCUUUUUGGAAAGAAGCAAUAAAUGAUGAAAUGGAUUCAAUAAUGGGAAAUCAAACUUGGAUCUUAGUUGAUCAUCCACCAGGUUCCAAACCAAUAGGUUGUAAAUGGAUCUUCAAAAAGAAAAUGAAGGUCGAUGGAACCAUUGAUAAAUUUAAAGCAAGGUUGGUAGCAAAAGGUUUUACACAAAGACAAGGUAUUGAUUCCUUUGAUACCUAUGCUCCAGUAGCAAGAAUUGCUACAAUUAGACUAUUAAUAUCACUUACCUCUAUAUAUAAUUUGGUUGUUCACCAAAUGGAUGUUAAAACUGCAUUUUUAAAUGGUGAAUUGGAAGAGGAAGUGUACAUGGAGCAACCGGAAGGAUUUGUUGUUCCAGGACAAGAGCAUAAGGUAUGUAAGCUUGUUAAAUCUUUAUAUGGGCUUAAACAAGCACCAAAACAAUGGCACCAAAAGUUUGACAAGGUUGUUUUAGCUAAUGGCUAUAAAAUAAAUGAAUCCGAUAAGUGCAUAUAUAGUAAAUUUGAUAAUGGAAAGGGUGUUAUAAUUUGCUUAUAUGUAGAUGACAUGCUCAUUUUUGGCACGGAUUUGGAAUAAAUAGAAAACACAAAGAAAUUCUUGUCAAACAACUUUGCUAUGAAGGAUAUGGGUGUAGCAGAUGUUAUUCUUGGGAUUAAAAUAACCCGAGAUGAAAGCACUAUAGCUUUAUCACAAUCACAUUACAUUGAAAAUGUGCUUAAAAAGUUUGAUCUUUUCAACUGUAUACCAGCAUCUACACCCAUGGAUCCUCAAUUAAAAUUAGUAUCUAAUGCUGGUAGGAAAAUUGAUCAAUUGAAAUAUGCAAGUCUAAUUGGUUGUCUUAUGUACAUAAUGACUUGUACAAGACCAGAUAUUGCAUAUGCUAUUGGAAAAUUGAGUAGAUACACAAGUAAUCCAAGUAGUUUGCAUUGUCAAGCUUUAAAUAGAGUACUUAGGUACUUAAAGAAAACUAUUAACUAUGGAUUGUGUUAUAAUGGAUAUCCUCCAGUUUUAGAAGGGUAUUCGGAUGCUAGUUGGAUUACAAGUUUGGAAGAUCAUGCAUCUACUAGUGGGUGGAUCUUCAUUCUUGGUGGAGGAGUCAUUUCUUGGGGUUCCAAGAAACAAACAUGUAUUACUGAUUCCACCAUGGCAGCAGAAUUUAUUGCAUUAGCCGCUGCAUCUAAAGAAGCAGAAUGGUUAAGAAAUUUGCUUUAUGAUGUACCUUUAUGGCUUAAGCCAAUUUCACCUAUUUCUAUCCGUUGUGAUAGUGAGGCUACUCUAGCAAAGGCAUAUAGCCAAGUAUAUAAUGGAAAGUCUAGACACAUUGGAUUAAGACAUAGUUAUGUCCGACAAUUAAUCUCUGAUGGAGUGAUCACUAUUAAUUAUGUGAGGUCAAGUGAAAAUUUGGCAGAUCCUUUGACAAAAAGUCUUGCUAGAGAUGCAGUAAAAAGGACCUCAAAAGGGAUGGGACUCAAGCCUAUUAAUUAGAGCCACCCAUUAUGGAAACUCGACUCAACGCUUGGUAUAACGUCAAGUCUUGAGUUCAAUGAGACAAAGUACAUCAUUAGUAUGUGACUGUUAGCACUAUAAAUAAAUCCAUCCUAAGAUUAAAGUGCUAGGUACCCGUAAUGAUAAGGGAAGGAUGAGUAAUGUACUCUUAAUGGACCCAUAACAUAAAUAUGUUAGAGUGUUAUAAUUACGGGAACACUUUUGAUGGGAUCUACCUAUGUGAGUGGAAGUGUGGCCGCUUCUAGGAGCUUAAGGGCUUGGCUCUGACAGCACUCAUGAAAAGAGGACAUAGACACAUGGCUAUAAUAGUGUCCCUAGAUACUAUGCAUUGACUGAUGUUGAAAUCAUUGUGUGAGAUAUGUUCAGUUAAUCAAAUGGAAUAGUUGGUUCAAAGCUUAGUCUACCAUACAAUUUCGAUUAACUUUAACAUGUUUUCACUAAGUGAAGGUUCAAUCGUAAGACACCUUUAUUUAUGCAAAUUGAUUUCCAAGAAUAUCAAAAUCUAAAUAUUUUGAAAAUGGGGGGAGAUUGUUGGAAUAUUUUCAAAUAUUUAUAGUAUCCCAAUAACUAUAAAUGAAUGGGUGUAAUUAAUCAAAAGAUAAAACUUUUGGUCAUUGGUCAAAAGUUAUAUCAUUUGAUUUUUUAAAAAAGAAUUAUAACUAUUCAAAAAAUAUUAUUUGAAUAGUUACAAAAUUAAAUGAAUAAUUAUUAUUAUUUAUUUAUUCAUAAAGACACCUAUUGAAAGAUGUCUCUAUGAAGAGACAUGAAAAUUCCUAUAAAUAGGAAUAGGAUUUCAUUUGGAAAUCAUAUCAACAAAUUCUAAUAUUAUUUCUUCUCUUCCUUCAUUUUCUAAUAUUAUUAUAUUAUUCUAUAAAGUAUUGCUGCAGAAAUCCUUUGUAGAAAUUGAGUUUUUGUUAUACAUUACUCAGUGCAUAGUGGACUAUUCUCGUCAGUGCAAAACACAAAUAGUCAUUGGCUUCAUUGUAUCCUCGAGGUUAAUUCGCUUGGAACUCGUUUGCACACUGAAGAUAAGUGGGGGCGAAUAUAACCUUAAAGAUAGUGGCUUGAUACACGCCUUGGAGCCUGUCCUAUUUCUUCUUUUUCUUUUCGAGUUCCGAUCGUGUGUUCAAGUUUUUUUCUUACCGGAGUUUUGUACUAACAGGUUUGACGGUCAUCUUGAAGCAUAUAUAAAAUUAAAUGAUUGAAUUAUUGAAAUCAUGAAAUAAAAUAAUUAUGAAAUCAGAAUUUAAGGUUAGAGGUUAUUUUUAGAAAUUUAACUUUUUAAUUAAUUAAUUUAGCACAAAUUUUAUACAAGUCAUGAACUUAAUUUCAUCAAAUUAUAUUAUCCAACUUUUACUGUUAAUAAAUUAAGCGGUAAAAAAAAACACAUGUCUUGAUAUAAAAUAUCAAAAUUGAUUAUAUUGAAGGUGGUACAAAUAAUUGCAAGAAAUUGUAAUUAUUAGGUAGUGAUUAUAACCUCUCAUAAUAAAUUUUGAAAAUAAUUAAUGUUAAUUAUUCACGUAAUUCUUCUAAUUUUCAAUUAUUUCCUUAAAAAUUAAAAAGUAACAAAAAUAUAUAUAUAAAUUAUAAUGGUUAAGAAAAUAUGUCAUAAAUAUGUAAUUAUAAGUAAUUACAUCAAAAUUUAAUUACUACUGCUUUCUAAACACCCCUAAAAUUUAAAUAUAAUCAUUUCUUUGUUUAAAUAUGCUAAAGAUUUCUAUACUCUUUUAAAAUUUAAAUUUUAGUCUCCAUGCUUUAAUUUUGAGACAUUGAGUUCUUAUAGUUUUUUAUUUAAAAAUCUUGGUUUCUCCAUCUAAUUUUGCCAUUAAAAUUAAUGGUGUCAACGGUAAAAUAAAUUUUUAACCCUCAACAUAUAUUGUGCAGAUCAUAGACUAAAUUGCUUUAUUAGUUUUCUAUUGUUAAUCUUAUUAUUAUUAUUAUUAUUAUUAUUAUUGUUAACACCACUUCCAUUUUAACAACACCAAUUUCUAACAAUUGCAGAAGAAUGUCUAGUCAUUCCACACAAAUUAACAACAAUUUGCAGCAUCCACUACAUUCAUAUGAAUUCCACACAAAUUAAGACUGCAAAUUCUAACUUGUUUAUACCCUCAAUGAAGUUACCUACUGCAGAUUUUGUAUUGCUUGGAAUGAAUUGACUGUCAUUUUCUACUACUUGCCACAAAAUUUUGUAUUGCUUUAAAUUCAAACAGGAAGAAGAAAACAUGAAAAGAUGAUGAGAUGAGCAUGAAGAUUGCUAUAAAUUUGAUCCACCAAUUAAUAAGCUAACUAAAGGAAAUAAGGACAUUUGAUCCACCAAUUAAUGUUUGAAUUCACUAUAGUACUAUGCUUUUUACUGUCAAAAUCUUGGAUGCAGAGAUUAUUGGGACUAAAAAAUGAGAGUCAUGAAAGAAGACAUAAAUAGUUGAACCAUACAAAAUGUUACAUUUAAAACAAACCCUUACAAAUACUACGUAAUGCAAUGAAAUAUAGAUGAAUUGUUACAAUAACAAAGACAGAUGCAUGGCAAUGCAACCUUUCACCAUAGGAAAAAAAUUGGACAGACUUCAAAACAAGAAAUUAUGAAGAUACUGUUGCGGAAGCGACGAUAAUAUUAAUAACAAUAUUAUCAGAAAUAUUUAGAUAAUUAUUAUGCCAACAAUUAUACUAAGAAAAUUCCCAGUUAAAUUGGAGGGGUCACAAAUGGUCCCGCUUAAAACCCAACAACUAGACAGAACUCACUUAGAUAUUUAUAGCAAUAAUAACUAAAUAAAUAUAACCAACAUAAAGCUAUUAAAUAUAAGCAAACAAAUAAGAAAUAAAAUACCAGAGAUUUAACGAGGUUCGGCCAAUUUAGCUUACGUCCUCGGACACUACCAAAUCAAUAUUUCUACUAGAAAUAUUACAAAGGAGAAGAUUUUUUGGGAUGAUACAACCAAAGGGGGAGGGGUUCUAUAUAUAACAAACCAAACCCCCUCCCUUUCUAUCUUUUCCUAAUGUGGGAUAUUGCCAAUAUUCAACAAAUCUCCACCUUGGCGAUAUUCCACAUCUUCGAACAUCUUCUCAUAACACUAACUUCAAUAGUGUCUUCAAAUUUGCAACCAAUCGCCUUCUUCCCUUUUGGUAGUUGUGCCAGCUUCCACGUCUUGUUUUUCUCUAGAGAUUGCAUUUCCUCUUCCAUUGCACCUAACCAUCUAUUAUUCUCUAAACUCUGAAUGGCUUUGGUGUAAGUGGAUGGAAUAUUAUCAACAACUGGAAGUGCAUAAGCUACCAUGUCAGUGAAACGAGCAGGUUUCUGAAUUUCUCGUCUCUGCCUUCUGACUGCAAUUGGCUCUGAUUGCUGUUGAGGUUCUUGGGUAGAAACCUCUUCCUCAUCUGACUCUGCAUCUGCCAAUGAAGAAUCACUAGUGGUACCUUCUGCUGGAAUUACCACACUCUGCUCAAACUCCACCUGCUGCGGAGUACACUCCACCUGCUGCGAAGUACUACUCACUCCUUCUGGAUUUACCUUAUUCAACAUGGCAGAUUCAUGAAAGGUAACAUCCCUACUGAUUAUCGUCUUCUUUGCCUCUAGACACCACAAACGAUAUCCCUUAACACCAGCAUUGAAGCCCAUGAAUAGAGCCUUCUUUGCUCUUGGAUCUAACUUUGAUUCUUUCACAUGAUAAUAUGCAAUAGAACCAAAAAUGCGCAAGGUGUCAUAAUCAGUAGCAGGUUUUCCAUACCAUUUUUCCAAAGGAGUCUUGCCAUUUAUAGCAGAUGAUGGCAAAUGAUUGAUGAGAUGUUGAGCGUACGUCACAGCCUCAGUCCAAAACUUUCUAUCUAAUCCAGCAUUAGAUAACAUACAUCGAACUUUCUCCACAAGCGUUCGAUUCAUUCGCUCUGCCACCCCAUUCUGUUGCGGUGUUCCACCUACGGUGAAGUGCCUUACUAUGCCACAAUCUUGGCAUAUCUUCAGGAAAGGAUCGCUUUUAUAUUCUCCACCGUUGUCUGAUCGGAGAACCUUAAUCUUCCUUCCUGUCUGAUUUUCAACUUUAGUUUUCCACUUAAGGAAAACUUCAAGCACCUCAUCUUUGUUCUUCAUAGGAAACACCCAAACUCGUCUGGAAAAAUCAUCAAUAAAGGUGACAAAAUAACGUCUUCCUCCAAGUGAUGGAGUCUUGGACGGUCCCCAUACAUCAGAAUGCACAUAAUCCAGAAUACCUUUAGUAUUGUGAAUCCCAGUGCCAAAUUUCACCCUUCGUUGUUUUCCCAGAACACAAUGCUCGCAAAAUUCAAGUUUGCAAGUCUUUGUACUUUUCAAUAAUCCUUGCUUGGCUAGAGUUUGCAAGGAUUUUUCACCAGCAUGGCCCAAACGCAUAUGCCACAGCUGUGUUGCCUCAGCGUCCUUCUUGGUACUCGAAAUUGCUGCUGCUGUUGUCCCGACCACUGUACUACCUUGGUAGUAAUACAGAUUGUUCUUUCUUAUGCCAUUCAACAUCACCAAUGCUCCUGAAGUUGCUUUAAGAACUCCAUCUCGUAUUGUCACAACUAGGCCUUUAGAUUCUAACGACCCCAAAGAGAUGAGAUUCUUCUUCAACUUUGGGACAUAUCGUACAUCCCGCAAAAUUCUAGUAGAUCCAUCAUGACUCCUCAGUUUAAUUGAACCUAUCCCGGCUAUUUUACAUGUGUUAUCAUUACCCAUGUAAACAACCCCUUCAUCUAGUUUUUGAAAUUCAAAGAACCAUUCCCGAAUGGGACACAUAUGAUAGGAACAACCAGAAUCCAUGAUCCACUCAUCUGCAUAUAAUGUUGAAGAUGUCAUACUAAGAGAAAAGUUUGACUCUGCUUCACUAUUGCAUUUUGCAACAUUUGCAUCUUGCGGAGUCUUCCCUUUUUUCUUCAAUUUUGGACAAUCUUUCUUCCAAUGUCCUUUUUCUUUGCAAAAGGAACAUUCAUCUUUGGCAACAGCUCGACCUUUGGACUUUCUUCUCUUCCCAUUAGACUGACUUUGCUGACGACCUCUUGUUACCAAUGCUUCCACUGCUGCUUCACCUGAACCUUUCAACUUAUCCUUUCGGCGUAAUUCAUAGCUAUACAAUGCAGCAGUUACUUCAUUGAAAGUUACUUCCGAUUUUCCAUGAAGUAGAGUAGUUUCAAGGUACUCAAACUCCUCAGGAAGCGAUCCCAACAACAUUAACGCCAAGUCUUCGUCUUCAAAAGUCACAUCCAAAUUCAACAAAUCAGCCACCAGCUGAUUAAAAUUGGUAAUGUGCUCGUUCAUCGUGGUACCAGGAACAUAAUUGAAACGAAACAGUCUUUUCAUCAUAUGCAACUUAUUUUGACUGUUCUUCUUCAAGAAUUUCUCCUCCAAUGCUUUCCACAAUUUACUUGCAGAAGUCUCUUUACUGAAUGUAUACUUCUGCUCUCUGGAAAGACAUGAUCGAAUUGUACCACAUGCCAAUCGGUUGAUGGUCUUCCAUUCUUUAUCAUCAACCCCUUCUGGUUUUUCUUCCUCAAUGGCAAUAUCUAGACCCUGUUGAAAGAGGGCAUCUAGAAGCUCACUUUGCCACAUGCCAAAAUGACCUGUUCCAUCAAAAAUUUCCACUACAAAUCUCGUAUUUGCAGUUCCAAUCCUCGGCAAAAUGUACGAAGUGGAAGUUGUUGAUAUGGAUGGUUUUUCUUCUGUCAUUUUUGCCAUAGCUUCUACUUAAUAGCCACCAAAUGCAGAAUACCCACAAGCUUUAGGAAAUGUUUCUGAUGUGUAAGAUCAGACUAAGCUGCAAACACAGAGCAUACUACAAAACCUUGGCUCUGAUACCAAUUGUUGCGGAAGCGACAAUAAUAUUAAUAACAAUAUUAUCAGAAAUAUUUAGAUAAUUAUUAUGCCAACAAUUAUACUAAGAAAAUUCCCAGUUAAAUUGGAGGGGUCACAAAUGGUCCCGCUUAAAACCCAACAACUAGACAGAACUCACUUAGAUAUUUAUAGCAAUAAUAACUAAAUAAAUAUAACCAACAUAAAGCUAUUAAAUAUAAGCAAACAAAUAAGAAAUAAAAUACCAGAGAUUUAACGAGGUUCGGCCAAUUUAGCUUACGUCCUCGGACACUACCAAAUUAAUAUUUCUUCUAGAAUAUUACAAAGGAGAAGAUUUUGGGAUGAUACAACCAAAGGGGGAGGGGUUCUAUAUAUAAAUAUCUAAGUGAGUUUUGUCUAGUUGUUGGGUUUUAAGCGGGACCAUUUGUGACCCCUCUAAUUUAACUGGGAAUUUUCUUAGUAUAAUUGUUGGCAUAAUAAUUAUCUAAAUAUUUCUGAUAAUAUUGUUAUUAAUAUUAUCGUCGCUUCCGCAACAAUUGGUAUCAGAGCCAAGGUUUUGUAGUAUGCUCUGUGUUUGCAGCUUAGUCUGAUCUUACACAUCAGAAACAUUUCUUAAAGCUUGUGGGUAUUCUGCAUUUGGUGGCUAUUAAGUAGAAGCUAUGGCAAAAAUGACAGAAGAAAAACCAUCCAUAUCAACAACUUCCACUUCGUACAUUUUGCCGAGGAUUGGAACUGCAAAUACGAGAUUUGUAGUGGAAAUUUUUGAUAUGGAUGGUUUUUCUUCUGUCAUUUUUGCCAUAGCUUCUACUUAAUAGCCACCAAAUGCAGAAUACCCACAAGCUUUAGGAAAUGUUUCUGAUGUGUAAGAUCAGACUAAGCUGCAAACACAGAGCAUACUACAAAACCUUGGCUCUGAUACCAAUUGUUGCGGAAGCGACGAUAAUAUUAAUAACAAUAUUAUCAGAAAUAUUUAGAUAAUUAUUAUGCCAACAAUUAUACUAAGAAAAUUCCCAGUUAAAUUGGAGGGGUCACAAAUGGUCCCGCUUAAAACCCAACAACUAGACAGAACUCACUUAGAUAUUUAUAGCAAUAAUAACUAAAUAAAUAUAACCAACAUAAAGCUAUUAAAUAUAAGCAAACAAAUAAGAAAUAAAAUACCAGAGAUUUAACGAGGUUCGGCCAAUUUAGCUUACGUCCUCGGACACUACCAAAUCAAUAUUUCUACUAGAAAUAUUACAAAGGAGAAGAUUUUUUGGGAUGAUACAACCAAAGGGGGAGGGGUUCUAUAUAUAACAAACCAAACCCCCUCCCUUUCUAUCUUUUCCUAAUGUGGGAUAUUGCCAAUAUUCAACAGAUACAACGUACACACUUGAACAUCAUUUCCACUAACUAGAUCCUUCUUCGUCCAUUGCUGCGACUGCCAUCCUUUCACUUUCUUCUUCGCUUCUUCUCAUGUUGGAUUUCAACCAAAUUCACCAACCAUUUCGGCUUACCAAUUUGGAAAACAACAUAUCCCACGACCAUUCCAAACACUACUCCGCAUCCAUAACCUAUCAACACCAAUUUCCAACCAAAAGAGAUGUUUGAUUUUGAACCAUCAUGCAUCAUUUACUUUGCAAACAAUUUCACAAGUAACCAAUCAUCAUCUUUAUUCAGUCCUACGUAUCAGUUGUAGUAGUUCAACCACUUCUUAUCAUUAAAACAUGCCAUACAUACACUAAGGGUAUUAAAAACAUCAAUCAAACCUAGAAAUAGGCCCAGUUGCAAAAUUUCUAAAACUGUUACAUAGGUAUUGAUACUGUCCUAGGGCUAUCCAUAUUUUUUUUAAGUGGUAUUGAUAUCACAUGGAAAAUCAAUACUAAACUAGCAUUCUAUCUCUCACCAAAUAUCAAAACAUAAAAAAUUAUUGGUACCUUUCGCAAGGUAUCAAUAAACUUACCCGAAGUAUUGAUUCCUGGGCUGAAGUAUCGAUACCAAAUACAUAUUUUGUUUCCCUGUACCUUCGAAAAUGCAAAGAUACCCUUUUUAGAAAAUAAAAUAUCGAUACCUCCACUACAGGCUAUAAAAUCUUAGCAUACUCCAACAUUAAAACCAUUCAAACUUAAUCCCAAACAACAUGCUUCAUUCACAUAGUUAAAGAACAGUGUAAUCGAAUGUUAAAUAUGUUACUCUGCAAUGCCGUUGUAAAUAUGACUGUUAAAUUUGUUGAUAGCUAUACUGGUUUGGCACAAAAUUAAGAAUACACAGGCAGGUUGAACUAUUCCAUGUAUGAACCUUUGCAACAUAAAUGCAGAUGGCACAAAGACGCAAACCAUACCUUAUGUUCUUGAAUUCUCAUCAUCACAUGCUUAUAAAUGCAACUCAAGCUUACCUAAUUGAAUCUUUUGGUAAUUCAAAAUGUAUUUUUUUUUGUAGUGAGCAGUACAAGGACAUUAGAUCCACCAAUUUCUGUUUGAAUUCAUUACGUCAUUCAGCUCUGCUAUGUACUAUUAUUUCCAAAAAUCUUGAAAGGAGACAUCCUCCAAUUUAAAGACAAGAAAUGAGAAAGAAUGGCAGUGAAUAAAUAAGGAAAAACCAUGUAUAUUCAGAACCACAAUAAAACAAAUAUUUUAUAUGUAUUUUCUCAAUCGUAUUAGUGAAAUGCUAUAAAUUUUGUAACAAUUUUUUACUAAAUAUAAAAUAUUAAAAUUAAUACAUAUGGUGAUAUUGGAUAUACAGAGAAGACCCAAGCAUGAAGUUUGAGCGGGUCCUUGUACUCUGCAAUCUUGUGGUAAAUCCUUGAACUACAUUUAUGAAUACUAAAAUAUUAAUUACCUCACUAAUUGAUGAAUCCUGAAAGUGCUCUUACGUUUUCUUAUAAAAGAACAAAGAUUACCUUGAAUAUUUGAAUUCAUUACAUCAUUGAGCUCUGCCAUGUUUUAUUACUAUGACCAUAUAACUUCAUCCUUUAAGCUUGUACAGCUAAUUGUCGAUUCACUUCACAUGCUCUUUUAUCCUUUCAUGGUCGGUCCAACUUAAUCUACAAGCAAUGAGGAAAUUCGGGGACAAUUACAGCACAAUUCCGCACAAAAUAACAACAAUUUGUAGUAUUGAUUACGUUGACUUGAGAAAUAGAGAGGAAAAAAAAACAUGCUUGUCUGUACCGUCAAUGAAGCUACCAUAUGAAUGCAUUCCAUGAAGCAUAAGCAAACAUAUGUACGAGUACCCAAUUUAAGUUCAACUUUAAGAUAGAUUAAUUAGUUUAUAUGUAGCAAUUUUACAGCUGAAAAUUUUCUGAACAUUAGAAUUGUCCAACAUAUCUACAAUGCUAUUUGUACAUUUUUUUAUCAGUAACUACUGCUAAAAUAAUUUCCUGUAAGGCGAGAUUACGGUUAAUUUAAAUUAGCUUAAGUUCGAUUUCUCAACAUGAAAAAAACAUAACAAAAUCCCUCUUAUAACGUGCCCUUCGCACAUUGAAGUAUUGACUAUGCUUAGUGGAAUAAUGUAGAGAUACAACCCCCAAUUGCAUCUUCAUUAAAGCCUACUUAUAGGAAAAUAGGGACAUGGGAUCCACCAAUUGUACCUUAGCUGCUGCCCUUAUUUCACGUCAAUGCAAGACUAUUGUUGUCAGACAAACUUAAUCAACAAACCGUGAGAAAAUUUCCGGUCGACAUUUACACCACAAUAUACAAUAAUAAAAAUUUUGCUCAUAAUGUUUACGCAAUUUGAUCAUAAUUCCAAAAAUUUAUAUAUUCUUUUAAUUUGAUGUAAUUCUAAAAAUUAUAAUAAAAAUGAAGUUCGAGCUAAGAAAAGCUCUUCUAAUAAGGUUCAAGUGACAAGGGGGAGUGCCCACUACUUUGGACACUACCCAUCACGGGAGGGUGAAAAUAAGAUUCACAGUUACUAGAGAGAUUGAAUCCCUUGCAGGAUCCAAGAAAUAUAAAGGCAAGGUUCUUGUUGUAGUAAAAUCUAGCAAGAAAAGAAAGAUUUUGUUGGACGAUUCCUCGCUUCUGAGACAAGUUCGAAUUCAUCAUCCAAGAGCGCACCUCUUUGUGUCAUGCUACAGCCUUAAACAAAGCAUCCUAAUGUUCUUGUUCUGCUGCAAAAAAGAACAAAAGGAUGAAACAAGUUGGGGUGCCAAAAUUUUUUUCUGAUGCAACUACAUCAACAAGAAAGCAGGAAGAAAGAAUCCUGGACUAGAAAAAGAAACUUUUCCUGGAUCCGGACUGCUCCAAUUCCAUAUCUUGUCCUUUCAUAACAAUUCCAAUGGAAUAGAUAUAGAAGGCACUACCUCUAUGGCCAUACACCCCCAUGUACGACACUGUACUACCGAUCUUCUCUAGAUUUAUGAUAGCCUUGAAGCUGUUGAUGUAUCUCACUGGUAGGGGUCCAGAAAAAUAAUUACUUGAGAGGUCAAAAUUUUGGAUUUUAGAGAAAAAAAGGGAUAGACUUGGAGCUAUGGUCAUGCAAGGAACCAUGCAUUUGAUUUAACUUUAGUACAAGAACUUAUAGCUGUGGAAGUGAUACAUGAUGGGAUGAAAUUUAUUAAAUUUCAAUCACCAACGCUGUCAAUUUUCAAGCUUGAGAAAUCAGCAGACUUGCGACGACUUGUUGUGUGGUAUCCUGGAAUUUUUGGGUUGAGAUUUCAAUGAAGUUGGAAGAUCUGUCUCUUAGCUUCGAAACGUAUUUUGAAUCACUCAAUUUUGAGUUCGGGAGCUCAAGUUAUGACCAUUUUAGUGAAGGCUGCGCAAGCAGAAUUUUUGAACGGGAUUAUGACGGGAAUUACAAAUUUCGGGCUUUUAAUUCGAGUUUAAAUCAUAUUUGGUUCGGUUGUAGGUUUAAUUUUUAUUAUAUAUGAGACCAAUAUUGUAUUAAUCAGCUCUUAUUAUUCUAUUAUUAGUUUGUUCUAAAUUUUUUUAUAAUUAUUAAGUAUUUUAAGUUAUUUAGGAGUUUUAUGUUAACAAGAAAGUUUAAUUUAAAACUAUUUUUUGUUUAGAUUAAAUUAGAGUUCUAGUAUACUUAAAAAUUUUAUUUAGAUUUAUUUAGCUAGACUAUAUAUAGGCCUUUUCAUUGUACACAAUUCAUUAUUAUUCUAUUUCUCUUAGAGUUAAUAAAUUCUCUCUAGAUUUUUCUUUUCAAGAAUUUCUCUUAAGUUUCUUUUAGAAGAGUUUUAACAAUCUUUUUAGAUUGUGGAGAUCAUCUUCAAACUUUUUUUUACCAAGAUUUCUAUCCUGGAGGGGAAAUUAGAGUUGUUUGAAAUGGGUUAUAGAUUCUUUGUGUUUGCAAGGCUUCUUAAGACUACAUGUCACGUUCUAUCUUUUUAUUUAUCUUGGAAGAGAAAUUAGAACUGCUUGAAGGGGGUUUUGGAUUCUUCGUGUUUCUAAAGCUUCUUAGGACUUCUAUACGUCACAUUCUAUCUUUCUAUUUAUUUUCUUUAUUCAUUUCCUUAUUGUUCUAAUAUUUGAUUUAUUUUUUUAUUCUAGUUAUUUAUUUUAAUUGUUUUAUCUGAUUUCGAUUUGAUUUCGUUUUAGGUUGUGUCAAAAUCUAAAUUUCUUUCCAAACGUGUAGAGCCCUAAGUCAAAUCCACGACUUUGACAAACUUUACGAUCCUCUUCUGUGUUCAUCCGUCUCAUUUUUUAUCAGGAAGACUUCCCAGCCAAUGAGGAAAUGUACCAUUGAUCUUGUUGUUACCAAGAUCUAGCUUAGCACUUUCAGUCCUUUACAAUUAAGGAUGGUGUCAAAGGCCCUUCUAACAGAUUUCCAUUUAAGUUGAAAUUACUCAAUUGGAAUCCCUUUGCAAAUGUUAGAGGAAUCGUCCCAUAAAACUUGUUCUUCUUCAGAUUCAUGAAUUCAAGGAUGUUGCUCAAAUCUCCAAAACAUUGCGAAAUUGUUCCACUCAAAUUAUUGUGGGACAAAUCAAGAAUUCGAAGAGAACUGGCAUUGCAUAUUAAAGAAGAGACCUCUCCAUUGAAACUAUUAUUUCAGAUCAGAAAGACUCCGAUCGUCGAAGCUGGAAUCAAAAGAUUUCCACUGAUCAAAUUGGAGCUUAAGUCAAGAAAUGCAAUAUUCUUCCAUUGAGUAGAUUGUCAAUUAAGAUUAAAGAUAUUAGAUUAGGAAAAGCAGCUACUUCAUCUGGAAUUGAACUUUCUAAUGAAUUUCUAGCUAUUUCCAAGUAUUCAAGUUGCGUUAGGUUUAAAAUUGACAAUGAAAUUUGUCCACUCAAUUCGUUCGAUGACAAGUCUAAAAAAUUCAAGGACACAAGAUUCCCCAUCGAGUCAGGCAAUAUCCUCCGCAAAUAUUUGCUUCUGAAAUAAUCAAGAACUCUAACGAUGAUAAAUUUGUGAUUGAGACAGAGAAUCUUUGAAAGAGAAUUACCUGAUAGAUCUAAGUACUUUAAGGCCUGUAGAUUAUCAACUGAAUUAAUGAAUUCGGUGGAGAAGGACAUCCACGACAGACCCAAAUGUUCAAGAUUGCUGCUCCGAUUGAACUUCAAAAGAUCAAGAUUCAGGUUUUGGUUGCCUCCCAAGUUGAGGAAAUUUAGGUUUGGCAAAUCAAAAAUGUUUUUUUGGGAAUUUUCCUUGCAAAUCACAACCAGAAAGACUGAGAGACCUUAGAGAAGAGGAUAGAUUCGUGAAGACAUGAGGAUUAAUAGAAGACAUGUUGAUUUCAUCCAAAAACAGAUGUCUGACCUCGGUCAGGUUGUGAACAAGUCCCUCGACAGCAUGUUUGUCAAUUGUUUGUCCAUCAGCCUAAUAGGAGAGAUUAAGUGAAACCAAUUUUGAUAGGUGGGAGACUUGGGAUGGGAUUUGUCCUACAAAACUUGUAUGAGAAAGGUUGAGAUAUACUAGGCUUGUAAAAAAAUUUAAAAUUUAAUCGGUUAGCAUUAAAUAUGUCAUUUUCUAUUAACUGCAAGAAAACUAUCCGGUAAACUGCAUCUUCCUCUUUAGAUGAAAUUUUGUAAAAAAAAAAAAAAUUGACAUUAUCACUUAUAUGGUCCUUCAAUUUUUUUUUUAAAAAGUCAUUUUAACUCUCUAUUUAAUUUUUCGCGUCUUUGAGCUUUUAAAUUUGCGUUAUUUAUCAAAUCAUCCCAAAAUGGAUGAAAAAGUUAACAUUUGUUAAUUCUAUUGACGAGACAUACAUAUCGAUAUCAAAUAAACAAUUAAUUGAUUUUUAAAUUUUAAAAAUUUUAAAAAUAAAACAUAUAUUAAAGUUUUCUAAGAAAUGAGGAAAUUGGAACCAUGUACAGAAGAAUGUCCAAUAAUAUAAACACAACAUUUUAGUUAUUUUCUACUGUCCAAUAAUGCCAUGUGUAUUAGUACAAACAUUCAUUAAACCUAAUUUAAUUUUAGCCAUUAAUUUAAUUUUUCAUCUUUAUUAGCCCUUAAACCUACAUUAUUUAUCAAAUAACCCUUAAACUUAUAUUGUUUAUCAGAUGAAAAAAUUAAUAUCUAUUAACUUUGCUAACGUGCAUACAUAUGCAACUUCUUAUUUAAAUCUAAAAAAUCUAAAAAUAAUUAAAUAUGUAUAAAUCUAAAAAUAUCUUAAAAUUAAAACUAAUUUUUUUUAAACUAAUGCAAAUUUUUAGUAUUUAAAAAAUCUUAAAAUUUUCAAAUUAAAUUCCAUUAGUUUUCCACCGUUGAAGAACACCUUCAAUCACAUCAACAAUUUCAUGCUGUUUUGCCUAGAAAUUGUUUUGCAAAUUUAUUUUGUUUUAUUUAUUUCUAAACCCAUAUUUCUUUGCUAUAACUCCAAUUAUUAGAUUGUUUAGGGUUUUGAGUAACUUUCGGUUUUAAAAUUUUAGAUUUUUUAAAUUUAAAUACGAAGUGCUCUUCUUCUUCUCCAAACCCACAAUUUUUUUCUGCCAAAUUUCAACUCAAGGUUUUACUUUCAACUAUAAAUAAAACAUAUAUUAUAUUUAUAAUAAUCUAAGAAGUGAAAUAAUUAGAAUUGACUUGGUCUUGCUUCCUUUAUAUGUAUGAAUGUGGAAAUUGGCAUAAUGCCAACUUAUUUUCCACGCAGAAGAAGAAAAUGGUGCUCUAUUCACUCCCUUUCCUAGCAAACAAGGCCACAUAUGACUUAGAUAGAUAUAUAUAUAUAUAUAUAUGGUCCCUAAGUGUGUAUAUAUUAAUAUAUUUUCAAGUAAACAAACUUAUGCCUUAAAAGUUGAAUAAUAGCAUCUAAGAAACAAAUUUUCCACCAGACUGGAAAUUUUGUAUUGCUUGGAAUGAAUUGACUCUCAUUUUCUAUUACUUGCUAGAAAUAGGGGAAAUUUCACAUCAAUGCAUUCACUUCACUAGGUCUUGCUUCCUAUCACUGUCAACCAAACUUGAUCGACUAGCAGUAAGGAAAUUUCAGUCAUUUGCAGCAUAAGAAUUCCACACCCUCAAAAUAAUUUGCAAUUUCAAAAAUAGAUUAAUAAGUGUGGUUCAAAUACCAAGACUAUAAUAUCUAUUCACUUCACUUGGUCUUUAUUACUCACACAGAAUGUAUCAUCAUCAUCAUUAUAUUACUCUUUUAUUGUUAUUUUUAUUUUUUUCUUGUUACUUUUAUUUGUUAUUAUUAUUAUUUUUUUAUACUUUCAUGUUUUCUUUUUCAUAUAUUCCACCUUUUAUUUGUUUAUUUCAUUCUUUUACCUAAUUAAUAUUAGAUUUUAUUAGUUGGUGCCAUUACUUAUUUGUUGUUUUUGAUAUAUCAUCGCUUCGUUAAUAUGCACCAUCAUUUUAUUAUUGUUGCAAUUACGUCACGAGCCGUUUUAAAUGUAUUCAUGCUUUUCUAUUAUGCCCCGAAUAAAUUAAAUAUCUACCAUUUUAAAUAUUACAUUAACUUUUAUGCGAUACAUAAAAAAAGAAUUUUUUUUUACCAAGGCAAAUGUUUGUUAUUUCAAAUUUAGAAAAAUCAUGUUCUAACUUACGGAAUAUGGUUGCCUUCUAAAAUUGAGAUAAUUGAAUAUAUUUUAAAAUAAACAAAAAUUUGUUUUUUUUUUUUUUACAUUUGUUCUCAUUUUCGGGAUUUAAGGCAUGGUGUCCUAACUUACGGAACGUGAUCCUUUUUCCCGAUUAAUUUAAAAUAAAUCUAUUUUUGUGAAAACAAAAUUUAAGUAAUAUUGAAACGAAGGACCGUAUUUUAAAAUCUCUUCAAAUUCUCAAUUUUUGACACUAAGACAUUAAUUAAUUAAUCAAUUAGGUACUAAUUUUGGGCGUUACGAGGGUGCUAAUAUUUCCUCGUACGUAACCGACUCUCGAACUUAUUUCCUGGAUUUUUGUAGACCAAAAAUUGUUGUUUUAGUAAAUCAAAUCUUUUAUUAAAACGAUUAAAUUACAAGGUGAUCCGAUCACACUAAUAAAAAGGAUUGGUGACGACUCCCAUUUUCGUUUUCAAAAUAAAAGUCGACCCUUUUCAAAAAUAGUUUCGACAAUGUGUAACAAGUAUUUUUAUUAAUCCAUUUGGAACAAGAUUUUGUUUCCUAAUGUUAAGAUUUGCUGGAGCAAAUAAAUUGAUUAAUGCUUUGAACUUUCCCAAACACUUUUUAUCAUUUUGUAUAAUUAGUAUAUUUGAAUAUAUUAGAUACAUCGUCUAAAACAAUGUCAAUAGUAAUUUUUUUAUAUUUUGUGGACCACAAGGGUACCAUAUAAAUAAUUUUAAAAAAAAGAUGGAGUGAUACAUUUACGUAGUGCUUAUGAAUAUAAUGUUGGAUUAAAAUCCUUAAUUAUGAGUACAUAUGUAUAAUGUUUGAUAUUACAAUUAUCUUAAUAAUUUUGUUUCUGUUUUUGUUGAUUGAUGAUUAUAAAAAUCAUUAUUUUUCUGAAGGCAUGCUUUGUUGUCAAUGACAGUACCUGCACCCUAAAAUAAUCACCAGCUUUAACAACUGCAAGAGUUGUCCUGCCUGACAUUUACUAAAAAAUCACCAGGGAGCACAUUGUCAGGAGAUCCUUGCUGGAAAAAACUUGGUAGGAUGGUUUUUUUGUGCAAACUUAGGAUUUCAAUUCUCAUCAAGGAACUUGCAAGCCAAUUAUUGUAGAAAUGUUUGUCCAAAUGAUAAACAUUUGGAAUCCUAACCACAGGGACUUUUGCAAGCCUAUUAAUUAGCUCCAGGAACUUUAGAUUCUACCUGUUCAAAACAUUUUUUCAAAGAAGGAAGCAUAGGUGAAAGGCGUCUAUUCUGGUUCAUCUCAUUGAAUACAUCAAAUGGAGGAUCAAUACGCUGAAAAAGGGACAAUGGAAAGAACUUUAGCCUACAACUUGAAUUUUAUAACUACUCCUAUGCCAACCAGCAAACCAUAACAGCAUACAUAAAAAAGAGGAUGCUGACUUACAGUUCCUUUCAUUUCACCAAAACCAAUCAAAUCCCUUGCAAUGUUGUUUGGAUCACAACAGCUCAUCUUUCAAUCCUAGAUGGCUCCGCCAAUUUUUUGAAAGCAUACAUGAACUGUUCAAGAAAUAAAUGGAUAAAACAACUACAGGAUAGAAGGCUAAAAAAUUACAAAGAGCAAUGACCUUAUUGUUAAAAUUCCAACGUCCAUUCCUUGGAAAGAUAUCUUCACCAUUGCCCACUCAAGAGAACUCAAAUAGCAGCAAGAUCUCGUAUAAAAUGUAACUCUCAACAACACACACAAAUGUUUGUUCUAUCAAGGAACAAUACACAGACAUAUUCACCUACCCUUGGUGCUGGCAGAAUAUGCCCAUUCACUUUGGUGAAAUUAGAGUUGAUAAUAACCCCACAAGAUUUCUGCACCAUAAUUACUGCGAAGUAAACCUGCACAUAAAUUUUCAUUCUUCACUAGAUACAUAUUGGAAAUUGGCCAACCAUGCUGCUGUUACAUUUUGUGGUUGAAGUGCAUGCAGCUUGAUGACAUGCUGGAGCACAUAUGGUUGCUGUAACAGCAAGGUUUCUCUUUAGUUUCUUUGUUGAUUAAACUAGUUGAAAAUGAACAAGUUGAUGACAACUUGAUGCAUUAGGUGUUGAAUGACUAGUUUAGGUGGCUUGUUUAUGUGUACAAGCAAUGUUUUAAUAGUCCCAAUGCUGAUUAGUGGGGUUAGUUGACUAUUUGAUGAUGUAUUUGACUAUAAAUGUAUGUUUUUUCUAGUUGAAUGAAUGAGCUGAAUAGGCUAUCAGCCAUAAGCUCCCUUGCUGCACAUUUGUGAGCAAGUAAAAAUACUUCUUGCACCUUGCUUCAUUGUUAUGCUCUCUGUUCUCUUCUUUUGCUGCUGCCAAAUGUUCCAACAAUACAGAAUCUAUUUUUGUAAGUAAAAAUUAGUUGUAUUCAUUGUUCACAUAAUUGAUCUUUUGUUGUGGAAGUAUUGUAUUUCCGGUAAUCCAUUAAGUAUUCAGUGUUUGAUAUAAUAGAUUUGCAUUUUAUUAUUGUAUUUUGUGAAAGGAUCCUUUAUCUAUUUUUUGUAACCUAUUUUGUUUUUUGCAUUUCUGAUUAGUUUACAUGAUGGCAUACUCAAUGAUCUCUUAAGUUAGUUAUGUUAGGCUCUUUAACCAUUGUUGUAGCUCACCGUACGUACUCCAUGCCCCCUUAUCCAUAUCUAGCUACUGACUAGUACACAACUAUCAUUGUUCUCACAUCACAUGUGGAUUGGUGGAUUUCUGAUAAUGGGUGUUGUUGCGCAUGCAGCCAUUUUUAUGGUAAGAGACAAUGAUUCAACUACUCUAUACAAUGAUUUAUUAGAUCGUGAUGUAAUCAUAUCACAUCUCAAUUGGGCAUUUAUAUUUCUUGACUUUGUAUAUUCAUAAUGAUACCAUGAUAGCCUUUUCCCCUCUUUUUUUUUGUUUUUUUUUUUUAUCUCUAGUCUCAAUUUUGGGCGUGACACAAUGAAAUUAGAAACUAAAUCUAUUUUUGUAAGUAAAAAUUAGUUUUAUUCAUUCUUCACAUAAUUGAUCCGGUAAUCCAUUCAGUGUUUGGUACAAUAGAUUUGCAUUAUAUAUAGGUUUGCCAAUGAGAUGGCAAGCAGACUGCUAGCUAGAAAUUCUUGCAUCUUUGAAUCACCAAUUCAAUUAAUAAGCUUAACUAAAGGAAAUAAGGACUUUACAUCCACCAAUUUUAGCAACCUAUAUGUACCCUUUUACAGUCUGCAUUGUUCCAUGUUUCAAUUCAUUCCAUCAUUCCUUCAACUCUGCUAUAUAUUAUUACCAUCUCCAGACAACCAAUCCUUUUACUGCUAACUUGUAAAGAAAUUAAGAAAAUACAGCAGAGAUCAUUGACACAUUUUGUUCUCCUUUCUCCUUUACUGAGCAGUAGCAAAGAUUGUCGAGACUAAAUUGAAAGUCAUGAAAGAAGACAUAAACAACACCACCAUACAAAAUGUUACACUCAAACAAACCGUUACAGAUAGUACGAAAUGCAAUGAAAGAGGAAUUGGUACAAUAAUAAAGACAGACACAUACCAAUGCAACCCUUCACCAUAGGCAAAACGGUCUACAGAACAAUAAAUUAUGAAAAUACAACACUAAUUCUUCAACAUCCUUUGCAGUAAUUAGAUCCUUUUUCGUCUAUAGCUUCAAUUGCCUUUCUUUGACUUUCUUCUUCGCCUCCUCUCUUGUUGGUUUUCAACCAAACUCACCAACCAUUUCGGCUUACCAGUUUGGAAAACAACAUAUCCCACGGACAUUCCGAACACCACUCCGCAUCCAUAACCUAUCAACACCACUUUCCAACCAAAAGCAAUGUUUGAUGUUGAGCCAUCUUUUUCAAGCACAUUUGGAGGUGCUGGCUCAAUGAUGUUGCAACCUUUCGAGACCGGAAACCCACAUAGUCCCUUAUUCCCUUCAUAUGAAUCAAUUCCAAAUGUGUUGAAUUGUUUUCCUUGAGGAAUCUGACCAUGGAGUUGAUUUUCAGAAACAUUGAAGGACGAAAGAAAUGGCAGAUCUGCCAAUCUAUUUGGAAUCGUCCCAGACAACCUGUUUGAAGAUAGGUCCAACCAUUCAAGACUUGUCAAAUUCCCUAUUGAGGUGGGGAUACCACCAUUAAGGUUAUUAUGGGAAAGGUUGAGCCCCUUUAGUAAGUUAAGCUUCCCAAUAACUUUUGGAAUCUCUCCUUCAAACUGAUUGUUUGAUAGAUCUAUGAUCAUCCACAUGGUGAAAAUUUUCACCAAUUCCCUAUCUUGUCCUUUCAUAACAAUUUCAAUGGAAUAGGUAUAAAAGUCACUACCUGUCGAAUCAUACACCCCCAUGUACGACAAUUUACUCCCAAUCUUCUCUAGAUUUAUGAUACCCUUGAAGCUGUUGAUGUAUCUCUCUGGUAGGGGUCCAGAAAAAUAAUUACUUGAGAGAUCAAAGAUUUGGAUUUUAGAGAAAAAAGGGCUAGACUUGGAGCUAUUGACACAUAAGGAACCAUGCAAAUGAUUUGACUUCAAUACAAGAACUUGCAAAUAUGGAAGACUUCCCAACCAAUGAGGAAAUGUAUCAUUGAUCUUGUUGUUACCAAGAUCUAGCACUUCCAGACCAUUACAAUUAAGGAUGGAUGGUGUCAAAGGCCCUUCUAACAGAUUUCCAUUUAAGUUGAAAUUACUCAAUUGGCAUCCCUCUGCAAAUGUUGGAGGAAUCGUCCCAUAGAACUUGUUCUUCUUCAGAUUCAAGAAUUUAAGGCUGUUGCUCAGAUUUCCAAAACAUUGCGGAAUUGUUCCACUCAAGUAAUUGUGGGACAAAUCAAGAAUUUGAAGAGCACUGGCAUUGCAUAUUAAAGAAGAGACCUCUCCAUUGAAACUAUUAUUUGAGAUCAGAAAGACAUUGAUCGUCGAUGCUGGAAUCGGAAGAUUUCCACUGAUCAAAUUGGAGCUUAAGUCAAGAAAUUCAAUAUUCUUCCAUGGAAAGUGCUCAACUUCUGUCAAAGAGUUGUGAGAUACGUUUAAGUAAGUCAAAGAGUCAUUCCCCACCUCUUGCAUCCACUGUGGAAUCUUGCCUUCAAUUUUGUUGCAAGAGAGGUCUAAGCUUUCCAAACUUUUAAGCCCUUUCAAAAAUUGGGGGAAUUCACUAAAAUUGCAAGAUGACAAAUGUAAGUCUGUAAGAUUAGGCAAUAUAUGAUUAACACUAGAAGUAGAAUUAGAUGUUAAGGAUAUGCGGAUAUAUGAAAGGUCAAGAUAUUCGAGAUUUGGAAGGCUUGAGAACAUGCGAAACUCUAUAACACCACUAAGAUUAUUUGAGGAUAAAACGAGGUGGGUAAGAUUGAGAACUUGGAAUAUUGAAGAUGGAAAAGGACCUUGGAGUUUAUUAUUGUUUAGAUAUAAAUGUUCUAGUGAUUUGGAUUGGAAUUCUUUGAUAUGCCCACUGAAUUGAUUUUGAGAGAGAAUUAUAACCUUUAAGGAGGGAGCAGUAUACAACCAUGACGGAAGUGUUCCAUUGAGUAAAUUGUCAGAUAAGCCUAAAUAUAUUAGAUUAGGAAAAGUGGUUACCUCAUCUGGAAUGGAUCCUUCUAAAGAAUUUUCAGAUAUUCCCAAGUAUUCCAGCUGGGUUAGGUUUAGAAUUGACAAUGGAAUUUGUCCACUCAAUUGGUUCCACGCCAACUCUAAAUAAGUGAGUUGCAAGAGGUUUCCCAGUGAUCUUGGAACCGUUCCUGAUAAGUUGGAAUUGGAGAGAUCUAAAAACUUCAAGGACACAAGAUUCCCCAUCGAAUCGGGCAAUCCUCCAAAAAUAUUUGCGCCUCUAAUAAUCAAGUACUCCAAAGAUGAUAAAUUUGUGAUUGAGACAGACAAUCCUUGAAAGAAAGAAUUUCCUGAUAGAUCUAAGUACUUUAAGGCCUGUAGAUUAUCAACUGAAUCAAUUAAUUCUGUAGAGAAGGACAUGGACGACAGAUCCAAAUGUUCAAGAUUGCUGCUCCGAUUGAACUUCAAGGGAUUAAGAUUGAGGUUUUGAUUGCCUCCCAAGUUGAGGAGAUUGAGGUUUGGGAAAUAAAAAAUGUUAUUUGGGAAUUUUCCUGGCAAAUCACAACCAGCAAGACUGAGAGACCUUAGAGAAGAGGAUAGAUUCAUGAAGACAUGAGCAUUAACAGAAGACAUGUCCAUUCCAUCCAAAAACAGAUGUCUGACCUCGGUUAGGUUGUGAACAAGUCCCUCCAGAGCAUGUUUGUCAAUUGUAAAUUGCUCAUACUUAUCAGUCCAAGAGGAGAGAUCGAGUGAAACCAAUUUUGGCAGGUGGGAGACUUGGGAUGGGACUUCUCCUACAAACCCUGUACGAGAAAGGUUGAGGUAGAAUAGGCUUGUAAACCGACCGAACUCGGAUGGCAUUUUGGAAAGAUUAAAAUGAUUGUAGGCAAGGUUGAGUUUUUGAAGGUGAGGAAGAAGGAAGAGAGUGGUAUUGGAAGGGAAGUUGCCAUAUAGCCAACUGCAACUCAAGUCAAGGGCAAUAACAUGAGCAUUUAGGUGGUCGCAAGUGACCCCAUCCCAUGAGCAGCAAUCUGUACCCUCCUUCCAUGAAUUUGUCUUGGGAUAAGAUUUAAGGCCAGUAAUAUAAUCGCAAGACAAAGAAGCAACCUUUUUUAUGGAAAAAGAGUCCUUAAACUGGAUUAGUGAAGAGCAGGAGUGAGAUUCUGAAGAAGAAAAAGAAGCAUAAAGAUGGGGAAAGAAGAGGAAUAGGCAGAGAAAGAGAUAGGGGGCCAUGUUAUGUUUGUAGAGGAAGAAGGAUAGGAAUGGUAUUUAUAGGCAACAAAUAAUACCACAACAUUGGUGUCUUUUACAUUGAAAAGCUAUGGAUAUUAGAUUUUCAAAGUUUUUGUAUUUUUCACAAUCAUCAGCAACCACUUGGUCUUGUUUUUACCAUACAUUUUUCGAUUUUUUUAUAGCAAAAUGUUGUAUAUCAUUUGAACUCCCUAAACAACUAAAAAAAUUAAGAUUGAGGAAGAAGACUGCUGGAAAUUUAAUCCAUCGAUUCUAUAAAAACGUGUAUACCUAUACAUAUAAUAAUCUCAUAAUUCAAAUCUAAAAUCUCAUUUGUUAUAAAUUAUGAUAAACUUAUUUGGGAAUAGCUAUUUUUCAUUAAUUAAAUUAUUUCUCUUUUAAUCAAGUAAAAAAUUAAAACUAAAAAGACAUUUAAAUAAUUUAAAUAUCAUUUAAAUUUACAAUCUGUGAUUUUAUAAUAGAAUAUGCAUUAAGGAUUUGCACACACACAGACAUGUUGUGAAGAUUGAGUGAAAUACUAGCUGUCCAAUUAAAUAUAAAAAAUGUCUUUGUUUUUCUGUUGGUAAUGAACAGGAGCCAAAUGUUGAAGUGGCUGGAACUUGUCUUGUAUUGCUUGCCUGCAGAUUUUGGUAUGUUUGAAAUGUAUGGAGAUGUGCCAAGUGGAACUAUUUUGGGGCUUAUCACUACCUCUGUGUCACACAACAGAACACAAAAUAAAAUAAUCAAAUCAGAUCUUUGAAUAUUGAAAUACCAAAAGUUAAAAGAGUACAUGCACUACAACCAAAAGUUUCGAUAUAUGAGGGUAGUGGGACAUGUAUGCUUGUGACCAAUUGGCUAGAAUUACAGGUCUGAAAUGUGGAGAACGUGUGGAUGUAAUUUUGCCCAUUUAUUACAAAUUGAUAAAACUGCAAUAUAAGUGCUUACUAUUUUAACUUUGUUACAAAUUAGUCCUUUUUUCUAAAAUUUAGGGAUUUAUAUAACUCAUUUUCAGAAAUUGACUCAAUUCUUUAAUAGUCAUUGUCGAAAACAUUAUAGAAUACCAAGCUUACGAAUUUGAAAGCAUUAUUGAAAACAAUUAUUAUUUUCAUAAAAUCAUUCAUCAAAUUUUUGUUUUCAAAUUUCAUACAUGAAAUUAACAAAUAAAGAUAGCUCUAAAUAGCAAAACCCAAUAUGUUUUAUCCAAAUUGAUAAAGAUGUUGAUGCAACAUUUUAGAUUGCGAAUUCCUUCAUCACAUUUGGAAUCCUAACCACAGGGACUUGCAAGCCUAUUACGAGUGCUAUGAUAAUCAAAUAAAAUUCAAUUCAAUUUUAAGUUCCAUAUAUAUAACACUUACAUGGCUACAAAAUGUGUGUGUGUGUGUAAGUGUCCUCAACCACAAACAAUCCAAAUUUGCACAGAAACCACCCAUUACAUAUAGGUUUGCCAAUGAGAUGGCAAGCAGACUGCUAGCUAGAAAUUCAUGCAUCUUUGAAUCACCAAUUCAAUUAAUAAGCUUAACUAAAGGAAAUAAGGACUUUACAUCCACCAAUUAAAGCAACCUAUAUGUACCCUUUUACAGUCUGCAUUGUUCCAUGUUUCAAUUCAUUACAUCAUUCCUUCAACUCUGCUAUAUAUUAUUACUUUCUCCAUAUAACCAAACCUUUUACUGCUAACUUGUAAAAAAAAUUAUGAAAAUACAACACAGAUCAUUGACACAUUUUGUUCUCCUUUCUCCUUUACUGAGCAGUAGCAAAGAUUAUCGAGACUAGAUUGAAAGUCAUGAAAGAAGACAUAAACAACAACACCAUACAAAAUGUUACACUCAAACAAACUAUUACAGAUAGUACGAAAUGCAAUGAAAGACAGAGGAAUUGGUACAAUAAUAAAGACAGACACGUAACAAUGCGACCCUUCACCAUAGGCAAAACGGUCUACAGAACAAGAAAUUAUGAAAAUACAACACUAAAUCUUGAACAUCGUUUGCAGUAAUUAGAUCCUUCUUCGUCUAUUGCUUCGAUUGCCUUUCUUUGCUUUUCUUCUUCGCCUCUUCUCUUGUUGGUUUUCAACCAAAUUCACCAACCAUUUCGGCUUACCAGUUUGGAAAACAACAUAUCCCACGGACAUUCCGAACACCACUCCGCAUCCAUAACCUAUCAACACCACUUUCCAACCAAAAGCAAUGUUUGAUUUUGAGCCAUCUUUUUCAAGCACAUUUGGAGGUGCUGGCUCAAUGAUGUUGCAACCUUUCGAGACCGGAAACCCACAUAGUCCCUUAUUCCCUUCAUAUGAAUCAUUUCCAAAUGUGUUGAAUUGUUUUCCUUGAGGAAUCUGACCAUGGAGUUGAUUUUCAGAAACAUUUAAGGACGAAAGAAAUGGCAGAUCUGCCAAUCUAUUUGGAAUCGUCCCAGACAACCUGUUUGAAGACAGGUCCAACCAUUCAAGAGUUGUCAAAUUCCCUAUUGAGGUGGGGAUACCACCAUUAAGGUUAUUAUGAGAAAGGUUGAGCCCUUUCAGUAAGUUAAGCUUCCCAAUAACCUUUGGAAUACCCCCUUCAAACUGAUUGUUUGAUAGAUCAAUGAUCAUCCACAUGGUAAAAAUUUUCACCAAUUCCAUAUAUUGUCCUUUCAUAACAAUUCCAAUGGAAUAGGUAUAGAAGCCACUACCUGUCGGAUCAUACACCCCCAUGUACGACAUUUUACUCCCAGCCUUCUCUAGAUUUAUGAUAGCCUUGAAGCUGUUGAUGUAUCUCACUGGUAGGGGUCCAGAAAAAUAAUUACUUGAGAGAUCAAAAAUUUGGAUUUUAGAGAAAAAAGGGCUAGACUUGGAGCUAUUGACACAUAAGGAACCAUGCAUAUGAUUUGACUUCAAUACAAGAACUUGUAGCUGUGGAAGACUUCCCAACCAAUGAGGAAAUGUAUCAUUGAUCUUGUUGUUACCAAGAUCUAGCACUUCCAGACCUCUACAAUUAAGGAUGGAUGGUGUCAACGGCCAUUCUAACAAAUUUUCAUUUAAGUUGAAAUUACUCAAUUGGCAUCCCUUUGCAAAUGUUGGAGGGAUCGUCCCAUAAAACUUGUUCUUCUUCAGAUUCAAGAAUUCAAGGCUGUUGCUCAAAUUUCCAAAACAUUGCGGAAUUGUUCCACUCAAGUAGUUGUAGGACAAAUCAAGAAUUCGAAGAUAAGUCGCAUUGCAUAUUAAAGAAGGGACCACUCCAUUGAAACUAUUAUUUGAGAUCAGAAAGACAUUGAUCGUCGAUGCUGGAAUGAGAAGAUCUCCACGGAUCAAAUUGGAGCUUAAGUCAAGAACUUCAAUAUUCUUCCAUGGAAAGUGCUCAACUUCUGUCAAAGAGUUGUGAGAUACGUUUAAGUAAGUCAAAGAGUCAUUCCCCACCUCUUGCAUCCACUGUGGAAUCUUGCCUUCAAUUUUGUUGCAAGAGAGGUCUAACCUUUCCAAACUUUUAAGCCCUUUUAAAAACUGGGGGAAUUCACUAAGAUUGCAAGAUGACAAAUAUAAGUAUCUAAGAUUAACAGUAGAAGUAGUAUUAGAUGCUAAGGAUAGGCUGUUAUAUGAAAGGUCGAGAUAUUCGAGAUUUGGAAGGGUUGAGAACAUACGAAACUCUAUCACACCACUAAGAUUAUUUGAGGAUAAGCUGAGUUGGGUAAGACUGAGAAGUUGGAAUAUUGAAGAUGGAAGAGAACCUUGGAGUUUAUUAUUGUUUAGAUAUAAAUAUUCUAGUGAUUUGGAUUGGAAUUCUUUGAUAUGCCCACUGAAUUGAUUUUGAAAGAGAAUUAUAUACUUUAAGGAGGGAGCAGUAUACAACCAUGACGGAAGUGUUCCAUUGAGUAAAUUGUCAGAUAAGCCAAAAUAUAUUAGAUUAGGAAAAGCGGUUACCUCAUCUGGAAUGGAACCUUCUAAUGAAUUUUCAGAUAUUCCCAAGUAUUCCAGCUGCGUUAGGUUUAGAAUUGACAAUGGAAUUUGUCCACUCAAUUGGUUCUGCGAGAAGUCUAAAUGAGUGAGUUGCAAGAGGUUCCCCAAUGAUCUUGGAAUUUGUCCACUCAAUUGGUUCCAUCCCAAGUCUAAAUGAGUGAGUUGCAAGAGGUUCCCCAAUGAUCUUGGAAUUUGUCCACUCAAUUGGUUAUGCGACAAGUCUAAAUGAGUGAGUUGGAACAGGUUCCCGAAUGAUCUUGGAAUUUGUCCACUCAAUUGGUUAUGCGACAAGUCUAAAUGAGUGAGUUGCAAGAGGUUCCCCAAUGAUCUUGGAGCCGGUCCUGAUAAGUUGGAAUAGGAGAGAUGUAAAAACUUCAAGGACACAAGAUUCCCCAUCGAGUCAGGCAAUCCUCCAAAAAUAUUUGUGACUGAAAUUAUCAAUUACUCCAAAGAUGAUAAAUUUGUGAUUGAGACAGACAAUCCUUGAAAGAAAGAAUUUCCUGAUAGAUCUAAGUACUUUAAGGCCUGUAGAUUAUCAACUGAAUCAAUGAAUUCUGUAGAGAAGGACAUGGAUGACAGAUCCAAAUGUUCAAGAUUGCUGCUCCGAUUGAACUUCAAAGCAUCAAGAUUGAGGUUUUGGUCGCCUCCCAAGUUGAGGAGAUUGAGGUUUGACAAAUCAAAAAUGUUUUUUGGGAAUUUUCCUUGCAAAUCACAACCACCAAGACUGAGAGACCUUAGAGAAGAGGAUAGAUUCAUGAAGACAUGAGCAUUAACAGAAGACAUGUUGAUUCCAUCAAAAAACAGAUGUCUGACCUCGGUUAGGUUGUGAACAAGUCCCUCCAGAGCUUGUUUGUCAAUUGUUUUUUCAUGAGCCCAACCGGAGAGAUCAAGUGAAACCAAUUUUGACAGGUGGGAGACUUGGGAUGGGGCUUCUCCUGCAAACCAUGUAUGAGAAAGGUUGAGGUAGAAUAGGCUUGUAAACCGACCGAACUCGGAUGGAAUUUUGGAAAGAUUAAAAUCAUUGUAGGCAAGGUUGAGUUUUUGAAGGUGAGGAAGACGGAAGAGAGUGGUAUUGGAAGGGAAGUUGCCAUAUAGCCAACUGCAGCUCAAGUCAAGGGCAAUAACAUGAGCAUUUAGGUGGUCACAAGUGACCCCAUCCCAUGAGCAGCAAUCUGUACCCUCCUUCCAUGAAUUUGUCUUGGGAUAAGAUUUAAGGCCAGCAAAAUUAUCGCAAUACGAGGAAGCAUCCUGUGUUAUGGAAAAAGAGUCCUUAAACUGGAUUACUGAAGAGCAGGAGUGAGAUCCUGAAGAAGAAAAAGAAGCAUAAAGAUGGGGAAAGAAGAGGAAUAGGCAGAGAAAGAGAUAGGAGGCCAUGUUAUGUUUGUAGAGGAAGAAGAAGGAUAGGAAUGGUAUUUAUAGGCAACAAAUAAUACCACAACAUUGGUGUCUUUUACAUUGAAAAGCUAUGGAUAUUAGAUUUUCAAAAUUUUUGUAUUUUUCAGAAUCACUUUGUCUUCUUUUUAUCAUAUAUUUUUCAUUCUUAAAAUUGGAUGCUUUUUUCUUAGCAAAAUCUUAUAUUUGAUUUGAACUCCUUAAACAACUAAAAAAAUUAAGAUAUUGAUGAGAUUACAAAGUAGAUUGACUUAGGGCCAGUUCUUUGCCCUGGUUGAAAAGUACUUUUACACCCAAAAGUGCUUUUUGGGUGAAAAGCAAUGAAGAAUAUACAUUAUCUGGGGCCAGUGGAGUAACUUUUUUAAAGCACUUCAGCACUUUCCAAAAGAUGAAAAAGCAGAAAAUUUCUACUUUUCCGGCAAAAAAGUGCUUCUAAGCUGCUCAUUUACUUUUUUAGCCACACCCACAAAUUGCUCUCAUCUCUUCUCUCAUCGCUGCUUCUUUGAUCCUCUGCUGCUUCUUUGAUCCUUUGCUGGUGCUGGUUCUCUGUUCUUUUGCUACUGCUGGUGCUGGUUAUUUGUUCCCCUGCUGGUUAUUUGUUCCUCUACUGGUGCUAGUUCUUUGUUCCUCUGCUGGUGCUUUGUUCCUCUUCUCCACCACCGGUGAGUUUAUCUUUUUUUCAUAGGAUGAGUUUUGUUGCCUGAACUUUUAUGCAUGAUGAAAUAGAUGAUAUUGGCUGCUUAGAUAAUUAACAAAACAAAUGAUGUUAGCAUAGGGUUUCUGGAAUCAAAACCCAAACUGAAAUUUAACCCUUUCUUUGUUUUGGCAUGCUUUAUUUAUUUGGGGGGUUAUAAUCCAUGCAUUCAUCCUAACAAAAACUAAAAACAUUGAGUUGAAAUAGAAAACCUAUUUCUCUGGCUCUGUGUCUCUCUCUAUCCGUAUCAAUCAGUUCUGAAAACCCGGAUUCGAUAUUCUACCACUCCCACCAAAUACAGCAAUCCCUUAAUACAAUCUUUGAGUUCCUGUAUAACAACAGACCAAUCAAGGUGGUAAAGCACAAACCUUCACAAAGGAAACAGUUUCAAGUUCAAGCUAAAAAGGCAAAAACCAGUCAAUAAAUUAAUUAGAGCCUAGACUUCAGUCAUGGGGAUACUUGCAACAGGUGAUAAAGCAUGGGCACCUUCUUCUGGUACACUCCUUACUGAUUUUUUCGAGGAUGUUAACAACGAAAUACCUGAAUAGAAUGAAGAAGAAAAUAUGAGAAAUGAUGUUCACAUUUCAAAUGAUGUUCAGAUUUCAAGUGAUGUUCACAUUUCAAAUGAUGUUCAAAUUGAUGGAACCAGUCAAAAAAGAAAAAACCCUGAGAUGUUAAGUUCACAUUUUAAAACUGGAAGAAAGAAAUCCUCAAAGCAAAUUGGAGGGGCUGCAAGAUUGUCCAGUCAAAUAGAAAAAUUAUGCAAUGCAGCUGACAGUAUGAGUCAAGCCACAUCUAGUUUGACUCCUAUUAUGGAUCCAUUUGGUAUUCCACAAGCAGUCAAAAUGCUUGACAGCAUGUCAGAAGAAGUUCCAGAAGCUAGUUCGCUAUACUUUUUCGCACUUAGAUUAUUGCUCAAUAAGGACAAGCGGAUUAUGUUUUUAUCAAUUAAUCUCAAGAUUAGAGCUUUGUGGCUUAAGACGGAAAUGGAGGAUAGUUGAAAAUUUUCUGAUCUUUUAGGGUUCAAAGAUAUCUAUUAUGUGACUAAACAACAAUGCUAAACUAGUUUUAUUAACAGUUAUUUAUGUUUGGUUUUUGGAUAUUGAAUUAUGUUCUACUUAUUUAUGUGUAAUCUAGUUUUAUUAAAAGUUGUUUAUGCUUGGUCUUUAGAUAUUGAAUUUAUAUUCUACUUAUUUUUUACUAAAUUAGUUUUAUCGAUAGUUGUUUAUAUGUGAUUUUUGAUAUAAAAUUUAUUCACAGGUGAUGAGUAUAGCCCAAGAUUAUAGUGGUGAUGAAAGUGACGGUGAAAGGGAAAAGAAAGAGAUUUUACAACGCAUGGAAUGUUUUAACCGAUUAUUUGUUGUUGCAUCUUCUUCCGUGCAAUUAUAUUACGAGAAGUAUAUAUUGAGGCAACCGUGCAUGGAUUCAAAACAAUCAGGUGAGACAUGGAUUCGAAAGAUCCUUGACGGUCACGAAUCAUGUUGUAUGAUUAAUUUUAGGAUGUCUAAAAUGGUAUUCAUAAGUUUGCUGAGAGUUUUGGAGACAAGAUACAACUUGCAAACUUCAAGAAACAUAUCUUCUACCGAAAUGUUGGGAAUUUUUUUAUACAUCUUGGGCACCGGUGCAAAAGUUUCCCAAUGUCGAGAAAGAUUUCAAAGGUCUAGAUCAACAAUAAGUCGACACUUUGCAGUUGUGCUUGAGAAAGUUUCAAGGAUGGCCACUGAUCUAAUUGCACCCGAAGAUCCUUUUUUUAGCUCAAUACCCGAACAAAUACGUAAUGAUUCUAGAUAUAUGCCGCAUUUUAAGGUUAAAAUUUAAUUUUAUAUUAUUAUAUUUUAAUAUAUUUGUUCGACUAAAAAUAUGCACGAGAUUAAUAUUAUUAUUUGUUCAGGAUUGCAUAGGUGCAAUUGAUGGUACACACAUUGCGGCUAUUCUUCCACCAAAUGAACAAAUUCCCUAUAUUGGAAGAAAAUGUAUCUCGACUCAAAAUGUUAUGGCAGUAUGUGAUUUUAAUAUGUGUUUCACAUUUGUCAUGGCUGGAUGGGAAGGAUCGGCACAUGACAGUAGAAUAUUUCUUGAUACAAUUCGAGAUCCAAAAUACAAAUUCCCGCACCCUCCAAAUGGUUAGAUAUUUUACUUAUAUGUGAUUUUUUAAAUAAUAAAGUAUAAGUUCUUUAAUUGAUAAUUUUUAUUUAAAAAAAUCUUGAAUUAAUUGUUUGUUAUAUUAUGACUUGUAGGAAAAUAUUAUCUUGUUGAUUCUGGGUAUCCUCAAAUGAAAGGUUAUCUUGGACCAUAUAGAGGUCAGCGAUAUCAUUUACCUGACUUCCGUAGAGGUAGACCACUAUUUGGUAAAGAAGAGGUAUUCAAUCAUUCACAUUCAUCAUUACGUAGUGUGAUUGAACGAACUUUUGGUGUUUUGAAAAAAAAUGGGCCAUUUUAAGGGAUAUGCCAAGUUAUAGUUUUGAAAAGCAAACGAUGAUCGUUGUUGCUACAAUGACGAUACACAAUUUUAUUCGAAAACAUGUCGGUCGAAAUGAUGCAGAUUUUAUGGAAUACGAAGAUAUUAACUCGGCAUAUGAGAAUAAUAUUGAUUCAGAAAAUGCGCAUGGUCGAGAAAGUGAUGAUGAUGACGACUACGACGAUGAUAGUGAUGAUGACGGUGAAUCAAACAAUUUUAGUGGUUUUGAAAUGGAAUUAACAAGAGAUGCUAUAGCUUCCAGUUUAAUGAAUUCACUUUAAAUUGUAAAUACUAUUGUAAAAUUUUUAGUAUUUAUAUUUGAUAUAUAAAUAUUAUCCUUUUUUAAAACUUCAAUCCAAAUAUAUGUAAUAUUUUAAUUUGUUAGUUUUAUGUUUUCUAUGUUAUGUUUACAUAUAAUAUGAGUUAUAUAUUCAAAUACAUUUUAAAAUAAAAUAAUACAAAUGUGUUAAAAGCAUUAAUUAAAAAUAAAUUUUUUUUAUAAUAAUACAAUUGUGUCAAUAUCUAAUUACAAAUAUUUAAUUAUUAUAUUUAAAUAUUUAAAUAUAGUUUAUAUAUUCUAAUUAAAUUUAAUAAAUAAAUAAUUUUAAUUACUUAGAAAUAUUUAAAAUUAAUAUUAUAUAUUAAAAUAUUAAUAAUAAGUUAUAAUAAAAUUUUUUGAUAUUUUUGCUAAAAUAUCAUAAUAUUAACUAAUUUGAAUAUUAUUUAAAUACAUAUUUGUUACUUUAUAAUAUCAUGUCUAAAAUGGACAUUUUAUUCUUUAAAAGCACUUUUUAACAGCAAUGCUAAACACUCAAAAUUUUCAAAAGCACUUCUCAAAAGUACUUUUCUACAGCACUUCUCAAAAGCACUUUUCAAAAGCAAUGAAGAACUGGCCCUUAGUCUUCUUCCCUAUAACACGUAAAGAAUGUGUAUGUCUAUUCACUUUCCUGUCAACCAAAGCUAAUUAAUGCGGAAAUUCUUUUCCACACGAAAGAACAAAAUUGUGCUCUAUUCACUACGUUUGAGGAAGAAGACUGCUAGAAAUUUAAUCCACCGAUUCCAUAAACACGUGUAUACCUAUAUAUAUAUAUAACUUCAUAAUUCAAAUCUAAAAUCCCAUUUAUUAUAAAUUCUGAUAAAUUUAUUUGGGAAUAGUUAUUUUUCAUUCGUUAAUUAUUUCUCUUUUAAUCAAGUAAAAAAUUAAAACUAAAAAUACAUAAUGAUUUAUUUGAUAUUUUUUAACUUUAUAAAUAAAAAGUCAUUUUAGCUUUUCAUUUUUUUUUCUUUUUUAGCCUUGAAACUUAUAUGGUUCAUUAAAUCACCUAAAAAAAUAAUGAAAAAGACUAACAAAACUAGCACUUACGUGGCUGAUGUUAACUCUUAGUAGUUAAUGGCAACACCUACGGUGUUGCCAUUACCUACGUAGUUGUUAACAGAUACCACACCAACACUGUUUGUUGACAUGAAUAUGCCACAUGAUCAAUAAUAGCUAACAUGGUAGCGCCAUGCCAUCGCCCAUUGAUGACAUAUUAACCAUUGAGUUAAACUCAAAUUAUUCUUUCCUUUCUUAUAAAUUAAGAUUAUAACUAAUUUUGAUAAGAAUGGUUAAUUUUCAUUAACUCAGUUUAAAAGACUAUAACACCUAAAGUUUGGUCUAUUGUAGAAUUCACAUGCUAAAUAUCCUUCAACGAGGGACAUUUAUAAUAUUGGAAUUGAACAAAAGGGACAUUUUCAUUAUGCAGAAUUCAACACAUAUAUUGGAAUUUUUGUAUUUCCACAAUCAUCAUGUUGUUAGCGAUCAACAACUACUUUCUGUUUACCAUAUAUUUUUCAUUCAUAAAAUUGAUUACUUUUUUUUACCAAAGAAGUAAAAUAAUUAACAUUCAUGAUAUUACAAAGUCUUCUUCCUUAUAACACGUCAAGUUUGGUCCCAAAUAAUUUUCCACACAAAAGAAUAAAGAGGAAGAAGAAUGCUACAAAUUUAACUAUCAAUUGUCUAUUGACAAUACUUUUAACUCCACAAAACGGGCUAAGACUAUCAGUUGUCUAUUGACUACACUUUAACUCGACAAAAAAAAGACUAUCAGUUUUCUAUUGACUUCACACUUGCUAUUGCUUCCUCCUAUCUCUCUCACCCAAACUUAAUUUACAAGCAAUGUGGAAAUUUUGGACAUUUGGGCCACAAUGUACAAUACUUCCACACCAUUUGCAGUAUUGACUACGUUUACUUGAGGGAAAACAAACACAUGAAUGCUGGAAAUUUUAACUAGUUUGUACCGUCAAUGAAGCUACGUACCUAAAACCCAUUUAGGAUAUCAAUUCCUGUAAUUGGAUUAAUCUCAUCGUUGCUGCAAUCUUUUGACACUGUAAUCCAAUCUUAAAUAUGUUACUCUGAAAUGCUAUUGUAAGUAUGACUCUUAAAUUUGACGAUAGAUAUAUAGGUUUGGCACAAAAUUAAGAAUACACAAAGGCAGGUUGAAUAAUUCCAUGUUUGAACAUCUGCAACAUAAGGCUCAAACCAUACCUUUUGUUCAGGAAUUCUCAUCAUCACAUGUUUAUAAAUGCAACUCAAACUUGAAUAAUUGAAUCUUUUGUAAUUCUACAUGUAUUUUUUUUUAUGAUGAGCAGUAUAAUGUUUACUAAAAAUUGAAAUUCAAGAAAGAAGUCAUACAUAGUUGCACCAUACAAGAUGUUACACUCGAACUAAACCCUUACAAAUAGUACGAAAUGCACUGAAAUUCAGAGGAAUUGGUACAAUCAUAAAAACAGACGCAUACCAAUGCAACUUUUCACCAUGGGAAGAACUUUCUGACAGACUACUAAACAAGAAAUUAUGAGGACACAGCAGAAAUGCUUUAACUUCAUUUGCAUCAACUAGAUCCUUCUUCAUCCAUUGAUGCGAUUGCUAUAUUUUGGAUUUCUUCUUCGCCUCUUCUCAUGUUGGUUUUCAACCAAAUUCAUGAACCUUUUCGCCUUACCGGUUUGGAAAACAACACAUCCCAUGGCCAUUCCAAACACUACCCCGCAUCCAUAACCUAUCAACACCACUUUCCAACCAAAAGCAAUGUUUGCUUUUGAGCCAUCCUUUUCCAGCACAUUUGGAGGUGGUGUCUCAUUGAUGCUGCAACCUUUGGUGACUGGAAAUCCACAUUGCCUCUGUUUCCUUCAUAUGAAUUGUUUCCAAAUGUAUUGAAAAUCUGACAAUGGAUUUGAUUUUCAGAAACGUUUAAGAAGGAAAGAAAUGCCGGAUCUGCCAAUAUCUCUGGAAUUAACUCAGUUCAAAAGACUAUAUAACUCGUAAAGUUUGGUCGAAAACUGGCAGCGUCUAUUGACUUCAACUCUUGCUAUUACCUCAAGAAGAAAGACUGCUACAAUUCUAUCUUCUUUAAACCGGCUAUUUAAAAGCAAUAAGGACACUAGAUCCACCAAUUUAUGUUUGAAUUCAUUCAUCAUGCAGCUCUGCUAUGUACUAUUAUUGGCAAAAAUCCUGAAAGGAGACAACCUCAAAUUUGAAGACAAGAAAUGAUCAAGAACAUGCACCAACAAAGAAUCGAUUAUUGUUUUGCAUUUGGUAAAUACAAUUGGAGUUAAAUAAUCAAGAAUGGUAGUGAAUAAAUAAGGAAAAACAAUGUAGAUUCAGAACCACAAUAAAUCAUAUUAAGCUCAUGAGUUUAUAAUAUAUAUCUCUGCAGCUUGAUUAUCUUGUUAGCUAUAAACAUAACCUGUUAGUUCCAUCAUUAAUACCAUUAGAUAUAUUUUGAUGGGAGAGAUUUUUUAGUAGGAAAACAGUAGAAGUCACUCAAGAAGACAUAAACAGCUGCAACUAUGUAAGAGUUUAACAUUGAGAAUAGAUCCUUACACGUUAUUGAAAUACCAUACUGAAGAUAAAGACAUAUAGCUAAACGUUAGACACCAUAAAAAUAUAUAUAUAUGAAAAUACAACAGAAAUGCUUGAACAUCAUUUGCUCUGCCUAAUCCUUCUUCCUCCAUUGCUGUGAUUCCCGGUCAUUGGCUCUCUUCUCUGCCUCUUCUGAAUAUGAUCUUCAACCAAACUCACAAUCCACUUUGGCUUACCAGUUUGAAAAACAACAUAUCUCACGCCCAAUAUCCUAACACCACUCCACAUCCAUAACCCAAUAACACUACUUUCCACCCAAAAUCAAUGUUUGAUUUUGAUCCACCUUCUUCUGAUAAGUUUGAAGGUGGUGGUAGCUCAUUAUUGUUGCAAUCACUUGACAAUGGAAAACCAUGUAAUCCUUGGUUGCCUUCAUAGGAAGUAUUUCCAAAGGAAUUGAAUCGUUUUCCUUGAGGGAUGCACCCAACCAAUUCAUUCAUUGAAAGGUUGAACAUAGAAAGAGCCAUCAAAUUUAGCAGUUCUCUUGGAAUCCUUCCGACUAGCUUGUUUGAAGAGAGGUCUAGCCAUUCAAGGUUGGUCAAACUCCCUAUUGAUGUGGGAAUGUUACCACUAAGGUUAUUAUGAGAAAGGUUUAGCCCUUUGAGUGAUCUAAGCUUUCCAAUAACCUAGGGAAUCUCUCCAUUAAACUUAUUAUUUGAGAGUUCAAUGAUCGCCCACAUGACGGAAAUUUUAUUCAAUGCUAUAUCUUGUCCUUCCAUCACAAUUCCAAUGGAAUAGCUAUAAAUGCCACCACUACCAUUAACAUCCUGCACACCCAUGUACGCCAUCGUACUUGCAUCUUUAGUGAAAUUUAUGAUAGCCUUGAAGCUGUUGAUGUAUCUCAGAGGUAGGGGUCCAGAAAAAUAAUUACUUGAAAGGUCAAAAUUUUGGAUUUUAGAGAAACAAGCAAUAGACUUGGAGCUAUGGUCAUGCAAGGAACCAUGCAUUUGAUUUGACUUUAGUACAAGAAAUUGUACCCGUGGAAGACUUCCCUACCAAUGAGGAAAUGUAUCAUUGAUCUUGUUGUUCCCAAGAUCUAGCACUUCCAGAGACCUACGAUUGAGGAUGGAUGGUCACAAAGGCCCUUCAAAUUGAUUUCCAUUUAAGUUGAGAUUACUCAGUUGGCAUCCCUUUGCAAAUGUUGGAGGAAUCAAUCCAUAAAACUUGUUCUUCUUUAGAUUCAAAAAUUCAAGGUUGUUGCUCAAAUUUCCAAAACAUUGUAGAAUAGUUCCACUCAAUUUAUUGUGGGACAAGUCAAGAAUUUGGAGAGCAAUCACAUUGCCUAUCAAAGUGUUGACACCAUUUUUUGAUGAAAAACGAGGUCAACCUUGGUUUUGACGAAAACGAAAUCGAAUGUGGGAGUCACCACCAACCCUUUUUGAUAAUGUGUGAUUGGGUCACCUUGAAAAGAUGGUUGUUUUUAAUAAAAAAUUUAUUUUUUAUUAAAACAACGAGUUUGGUCCACGAAAUUCAGAGAACGGGUUCGGGAGUCGGUUACGUACGAGGAAGGAUUAGCACCCUCGUAACGCCCAAAAAUUGGUACCUAGUUGAUUAGCUAAUGUCUUGAUCUCGAAAAUUGAAAACUUGGAAGAAUUAAAAAAAUACGAUCCUUCUUUUGAAAGAAAAUUUAUAAAAAUCGAGCUGCUCAUUAAGACUUUUUCAUUUCAGAAAGAGAAAAUGUCACACCCAAUGCGUUAGGGUAUGGUAUCUUACCUCUUCAGAAAUGAGCAAGUCUAAACUUACAUAGAAAAAUUUAAAAGAGUGUUUGAUUAUUUAAGUCAUAUGAAAAAAUUGCAACUCAAUACGUUAGGGUACAAUUUCUUCAAAUGUUAAACAUUGAAUAUUGCAUUUAUUUUGAAAAAUCCUCGUCUCGAGAAAUCAAAGUAUCAUGUCCAAUGCAUUAGGACACGACGUAUUGAAUUCUCGGUAAUGAGUUUUUAUUUAGGUCUUUUUUAAAAAAGAGUAACCUCGAUUAUUUAGAUUCAGCGAAGAAAAUCGAAACCCAAUACGUUAAGGCUCAAUUCUUUCGAGGAUCACAAAUACCGAGUGUUACUUUUAUUUUGAAAUUUUCCGUUUUUUUUUUUGAUAAAUCCAAGUAAAAGUAAGUUUAAAAUAACAAUAAUGAUGCAAUAUAAAUAAAAUGAAACAAAUAAACAAUAAACAAUAAAAUAAAAUAAAAUGAAACAAAUAAACAAUAAAAAAUAAUCAUACGGGCAAAAUAACAAAUAAUAAGAAACUAAAGUAGGAAAAUAAACAAUAAUAGACAUGCAAAUAAAUAAAUAAACCAUAUUUAACAAAAAUCAUAUAAUUAUGGAAGAUAUAUAAACAUAUACACGUAUAAAAUGAUGAAACUACGAGAAACAUGUGCAUGUAUACAUCUUUUUUAAAACUACUAUGCAUGAAGAAUUAUAUAAGUGUAUGUACAUGCAUAUUUAUGUAGCAAACAUCAAAUAUAAAAAGCAUAUAUUGGUACGUAUACGAGUCAUAAAAUAAAGAGUAUAUACAAGAUAUGUAUUUUAAAAAUAUAAAGGGUAAGUAAAUAUAUAUAUGUAUGUAUAUUUAUGCAAAUGAAAUAUAUAUAUAUAAACGUGAAUGUAUGCAGGUAGGUAUAACUAUUAUAAAAAUAUGAAAAUAUAUGUGCACGUAUAAGAAAAACAUAUAUACGAAUUAUAUAAAAAAAAGUAAGAUAAAAAGAUAAUAUAUACACAUAAAUAUAUAUAUGAGUAUGUAUUUACACAUUUGUGAGAAAAAUAUAGAUAUAAGUGUAUAUAGGUAUGUAUAUAAAAAAUGAGUAUUCACAUAAAUUAAAUAAAUUAAUAUAUAUGUAUAAACAAUUAUAUAAUAAUAAUAUAAUAAACACAUAUAUCUAAAAUCUAUAUAUGUAAAUAUAAGCGAAAACAUAACAAUAAUAACAAUAAUAUUAAUAAUAAUACUAAUAAUAAUAGUGAGGAUAACAAUAAUAAUAAUAAUAAUAAUGAAAGUAAUGUACGAAAUAAUAAAAUUACUAAAAAAGGGAUUGAAUUAAAAUAUAAACAAAAAUACAGGGCGAAUUCGGAAUAAAAAAGACUAAAUCACUACACGCGCUAAAAGAGGGGGGACCAAAAAAGAAAAUAAACUAUAGCCCCAAAACGCUGCGCUAUAAUGGACCGAAUUGAGAGAAAAAUAAAACUUUGUGGCCAAAUUAAAAAAUAAAAGAAAAUAGCGAAAAGGGCCAAAUUGCAACGCACUUCAAAGUCGGACGGACUGCGCGCUCAAAUAAUCUAUUCGAAGAAAACACGUGGAUCCUCCCCCUUGGGUCGGGUCACCGCGCGGGUUAGAGACCAAAACAACGUCGUUUUUUGUCUCUGAACCCUAAGCCCAAACGGCGCCGUUUUAAAAAUCUUAUUUAAAUUAAUUUUUCAACAAAAAAUUUCAUUUAACAGCAAAAAAUAAAAAAAGGCCUUUCUCUGUUUUUUUUUAAAAAGACGAUGCUCCCCUCUCCCCCUUUUAGCGCAGCCCUAGCGAACCCCAAGGGGUUUUUACAGCCCUGGCGCACGGAGAGGCACACCGACGGCGGCGCGUCGCUAACAAAGGUAUCAUUUUUCACUCUUUUUUUAUUUUUAAUGAGAUAAAAUCUAAAUGAAUAAUAAAAAGAACUUGCAAAAAGAAAAAAAAUAAAAAAAAUAGAAUGGCCAAAAUCACCUUGAAUCUGUUUCUUUUUGUUUUCUUUUUUGCUACUAUCUGUUUUUGUGUUACAUAAAUCACUAGCUAAAGAAGAGAAAAGAGUUACAUAUUCGGCUUUUAUAGCCGAUUUUUUUUCUUUCUGUUUGUUGUUGUUGCUUCUUUUUCUUGCUUGUUUCUCUCUUUACAGGUAACUGGCGGCGCAAGUGGUGGUGGUGACAUGACCGUGGCGGUGGAGAUGUGACCGUGGAAGUGGCAAGGUUAGGGCGGCGCCUGUUGGUCAGAAGACCCUAGGUGCGGCGCACCUAGGGUUUGUUUUUUUUCUGAUUUGGGUUUUUGGGCCUGGGGUAUUAGGUUAGGUCUAAGUGGGUUUGGGUAGCUGGGUAGGGUUUGUAAUUGGGCCUUGGGUUUGGGUUUUGUUUUUGUUUGGGUUAAGGGUUAGUUGGGUCUUGGGUAGGUUUAGGUUGUUUUGGGUUCUUAGGCCCGGGUUUAAAAUUAGGCUUCUACAGCUGCCCCUCUUUGCUCAUUGUCGUGUAACGAUAACAGAGCAAAGACUAAGAAAGACCAAUUUUUGCCCGGUCUUGUCGAGGAAAAAAUUCGCCGUUGAAGCUUCAAUCUUUUAGUUUCAAUGUCAGAAAAGCAAGAUUCGCCAUCGUAGCUUCAAUCUGUUCCACUGUAUCUGCAGGGAGGUGAGAUUCACUCUUGUAGCUUCAAUCUAUUUGACUGCAAUGUCGGGGAAGGAAGAUUCAUUGUUGUAGCUUCAAUCUAUUCCGCUGCAUCGCUUGGGAAGUAAGAUUCGCCGUUGUGGCUUCAAUAUUUUAAAUUGCAAUGUUGGGGAAGCAAGAUUCGCCGUUCUAGCUUCAAUCUGUUUUGUUGCAUCGCCUGGAAAGUAAGAUUCAUCGUUGUGGCUUCAAUCUUUAAAAUUGCAAUGUUGGGGAAGCAAGAUUCGUCAUCGUAGCUUCAAUAUGUCUCGCUGCAUUGCUUGGGAAGUAAGAUUCGCCGUUGUGGCUUCAAUCUUUUAAAUUGCAAUGUUGGGGAAGCAAGAUUCGCCCUCGUAGCUUCAAUCUGUUCCGCUACAUCGCUUGGGAAUUAAGAUUCACCGUUGUGGCUUUAAUCUUUUAAAUUGCAAUGUCGGGGAAGCAAGAUUCACCGUCGUAGCUUCAAUCUGUUCCGCUGCAUAGCCUGAGAAGUAAGAUUCGCCAUUGUGGCUUCAAUCUUUUAAAUUGCAAUGUAUAGUUUCUUCGAUCUGCUUCGCUGUCAACUUAGGAAGGCAAGACCUGCCAUCUUCAUUAAUCUGUUCUUUAGGGAACAUGACCUAUAUGAACCUAUUUAUGCCUAGUGAUCAUGAUCGAAAUGAAUCAAAAUAUCCUGGCUAAAUGUGUAUGCAUGAAUGCAAAAUGAAAAUGAUCUUUCAAUGUUUGAGUUGUUAUUGCCCAUUACUCAAUAAGGCUUUAUUACCAAGGCGUCCGAAUGCUAUCUAGUUCGGUUGGUAAUGCUCAUCUCUUACUUGGUCGGAUUACCCCCACUAUAAUCUUCAAAGUUCAACUCGUGAUUUUCAAGGUUAAGCCCACCGUAAUUUAGGACAUAAAAUUGAAAACCAUCCUUUUACCUACACCAUUUCUAGGGUGUCGCGCCAAAAUUUUACGCAUAAUUGUAAAAUUUUCUCUUCCGAGAAACCUUUUCUUAUCAUUCAUUGCUUGUUUAUUCAUUGAAACUUUGUCACCAAUACGACAUCUUGUGAUUUGGUUUGGACAACAAAGUUUGAAAGGAUAGUCCUGACUUAGACUUUUCCCUUUUAGACACUUUAAAUUUGGUGUGUUCUAAACAACGGUCCUGUUUCAGGUUCCUUAAUUAUUUAGAAAUUUUUAAAGUAAUAUACAAAACUCCUUUUGUUUGAACAUUCAGUCCAUUAAUUAUUAUUUCAAAUGUUUGAAAAAGAUUAUCACAAUGGACAAACAAAAUAUUAUUGAGAACAAAUCUCGAAAUGAAUAAGUUAAUCAAGAUAUUAAAUUUUGUUAAGAUAAAAUGAAAAAAGAUAAUAAACAAGAUGGAACUUUAUUGGGAGCAAAGCUUGAAACAAAUACAUUGAUCAAGACAACAAAUUUUGCCAAGAUUAAAAUAGAUAAGAUGAUGACAGGUGCCCCAGAUAUCGCAACACGAGCUUCCCUGCAUAAGCUUUCUAAAGACCAUUCUGAAUUUAAUAUACGUUUAGGGAAUCUACAAUACUUUGUCGCCUACUCUUUAUUGUUGAUUCAGGUAUAGCGAGAGCAUCACAUGCCCCAGAUCUUGAUCAAAGUUUGAACUAUUUCGUUCACCUCAUGCCUUAAGAAAAAUUUGAGCCGCCUUUUUCAUGUUUUCAACUCAAAUCCCCUUUGAUCUCAAUGCGUCUUUUAUGGGUUUUCACAUUGGCCUCUCCCCUUUUUUUCAACUUUAAAGUGCCCUUUACAGGUUUUCACUUUGAUCCUCCUUCUUCAAGUGAAAUAUUUCUUGACUGAAUCUGAGUUUACAGGAUUUGGCAGGCUUUUACCAUCCAUCUCGUUCAAGAUUAAAGCUCCUCCAGAAAAGGUCUUCUUUAUCACAUAAGGACAUUCCCAAUUUGGCAUCCAUUUUCCUCUAAAAUCCUUUUGUAGAUGAAGAAUCUUUUUCAAAACUAGGUCCCCCUCGUGAAAUUCUCUGGGAUGAACUUUUUGUUAUAAUCAUUCGUUUCUAAUAUAUCUGACCGUAACGAAUAACUUUUAACCUUUUUUCUUCUAUCAAGUUUAGUUGAUCAUAUCGAGAUUGAAUUCAUUCAGCCUCAUCUAACUUUAAUUAAGCUAAUACUCAGAGAGAAGGGAUUUCCACUUCUAUGGGUAUAACUGCCUCCAUUCCAUAGACUAAGGAAAAUGGUGUUGCCCUAGUAAAAGUUCUAACAGAGGUACGAUAUGCCAGGAGAGCGAAAGAUAAUUUCUCGUGCCAAUCUUUGUAGGUUUCAGUCAUUUUCCCUACAAUUUUCUUGAUAUUUUUGUUAGUUGCUUCCACAGCACCAUUCAUUUUUGGACGGUACGGUAACGAAUUAUGGUAUCUGAUCUUGAACUGACUACAAACUUCCGCUAUUAAGUUGUUGUUCAAGUUCAACGCAUUAUCGGAUAUGAUCCUUUCAGGUAUCUCGUACCGACAUAUAAUCUCUUUUUUUUAAAAACAUCUAACUGCUGACUUCGUGACAUUAGCAUAUGAAGCAGCCCCCACUCAUUUAGUGAAGUAAUCAAUAACCACAAAGAUAAAACGAUGCCCAUUAGAAGCCUUUGGAGAUAUUGGCCCGAUGACAUCCAUUCUCCACAUGGAGAACUGCCAUGGAAAAACCAUAACGUGAAGGGGUGAAGGUGGCACAUGCAUUUUUUCACCAUAAAUUUGGCAUUUCUAGCACCUUUUGGCGUAACUAAUGCAAUCCCCUUCCAUGGUGGACUAAUAGUACCCAAAUCUCAUAAUUUGUCUGGCCAUCGUGAAACAGUUGGCAUACGUUCCACAGAUACCUUCAUGCACUUCUUCCAAAAUUUUCUUGGCCUCGACAGCAUCCACACAUCUCAACAAUUGAUCUUUUCCCUUUUUAUACAAAAUCUCCUCAUCUAGGACAUAAUCAAUGGCUAAUCUCCUUAAUGUCCUCUUAUCAUUUUCCGUCGCAUGGGUGGGGUACUCACGACUCUUUACAUAUCGCAAUAUGUCAUGAUACCAGGGAUGAUCAUCCAUUUCCUCUUCAUCGUCAAUGUUGUAACAAUGGGCUGGAGCCUCAUGAAUGCUAAUCUGAAUAGGCUUCAUAUCUUCGGGCUUGUUCACCUUGAUCAUAGAGGCUAGAGUGGCCAAAACAUCUGCCAUCUAGUUUUCGUCUCGUAGGAGAUAACAAAAGGUGACGCUAUCAAACUCCUCAAUCAAUUUUAGAACCAACUUCCGAUAUUGGACUAACUUUGGGUCUCUUGUUUCCCAUUCUCCUUUGAGCUGGUAUAUUACCAAUGCAGAGUCUUCGUAUAUCUCUAGCACCUUAAUUUUUCGCUCUAUGGCUGCCCGGUUAGCCAUAACGCAAGCUUCAUACUCAGCCAUGUUAUUGGUGCAAUCAAAGUCCAAUUUGCUAGUGAAAGGAUAAUUAUCUCCACUAGGGAACACGAUGACUACCCCAAUUCCAUUGCCUAUAGCAUUUAAAGCUCCGUCGAAGCUUAGCUUCCAAGGGUGAUUUUUGUGAGAAUCCUCUUUAGCGGUUGCAACAUACAUUAAAUCUUCAUUCGGAAAAUCAAAAUUCAGAGGUUCAUAGUCUUCUAAAGCUCUGCUGGCCAAAAAUGCUGCUAUCGCGCUUCCUUUAACGGCCUUUUGAUUUACAUAGACUAUCAAAUUCGGAGAGUAGAAUCUGCCACCUAGCCAUCCUCCCAUUCAACACAAUCGACUCCAUCAUAUACUUUAAAGGGUCUAACUUUGAAAUUAACCAAGUCGUAUGAUAGAGCAUGUAUUGUCUCAAUCUUCGUGUCGUCCAGACCAGAGCGCAACAUAAUUUUUCAAUAGGCGAAUACCUUAUUUCACAGUCAGUAAAUUUCUUACUAAGAUACUAGAUCGCCUUCUCUUUCUUUCCCGUCUCAUCAUGUUGACCAAGCACACAUCCCAUAGAAUUGUCGAACACUGCUAAAUACAAUAUUAAUGGCUUAUCUGGCCUUGGUGGUGACAAUACUGGAGUAUUGGACAAGUAUUAUUUUAUCUUGUCAAAAGCCUCCUAGCGUUCUUUAUUCCACACAUCUAGAUUGUGUUUUUUCAAAAGACGAAAUAUGGGGUCACAUUUUUCAGUCAAUUGGGAAAUAAACCAAGCAAUAUAAUCCAGCCUUCCUAAGAAACCUCGAACUUCUUUCUGAGUACGUGGUGGAGGCAAAUCUCUAAUUGCCCUGACUUUGUCUGGGUCAAUUUCAAUCCCUUUUUCACUGACUACAAACCCCAGAAGUUUUCCUGUCCUAGCUCCGAAGAUACAUUUGGCUGGAUUAAGUUUGAGUUGGAACUUUCUUAACCUUAAGAACAAUUUUCUUAAUACUCGCACAUGUUCUAUUUCCGUCCGGGAUUUUGCGAUCCUGUCAUCAAUAUAGACUUCUAACUCCUUAUGCAUCAUGUCAUGAAAUAAUGCUACCAUGGCCCUCUGAUACGUUGCCCUUGCAUUUUUCAACCCAAAUGGCAUCAUUUUAUAACAAAAGGUCCCCUAUAGGGUUAUGAAUGUAGUUUUCGUCAUAUCUUCAGGAUGCAUCUUAAUUUGGUUAUAUCCAGAGAAACCAUUCCUUAAAGAAAAUAGUGAAUGCUCUGCUCUGUUAUCUACUAGGGCGUUGAUGUGUGGCAAAAGAAAAUUAUAUUUUGGGCUAGCCUUAUUUAAAUCUCUAUAAUCUACACGCAUUCGUACUUUCCCAUCUUUCUUAGGGACGGGUACGAUAUUGGCUACCCAUUCGUAGUAUUUAACAACUUGCAGUAAUCCAGCAUCGAAUUACUUUUGCACCCCUAUUUUAUUUUUAAUACAACAUCAAGCCUCAUUCUUCAAAGUUUUUACUAAACGGGCUUGCAAUCUUUCUUUAUAGGAAGACGGUGAACUACGAUAUCCGUACUUAACCCAGACAUAUCUUGGUAUGACCAUGCGAAGACAUCUUUAAACUUUCGAAGCAACUCAAUAAGAUCUUGUUUUACUUUUUCAGCUAUGCAUGUGCCAAUCUUCACCGCCUUUCCCUCUUCCAGGAUCACGGUCUUCUCGUGAGGUAUGAUUUGUUUCUUUUCCUGCUCUAUCGUCCUCAACAAGUCCGAAAAUAGGUUGCAAUUUAGGUUAUCUUCAAAAUCUUGAGAUUCCUCUAAACACAUAUCUCUUUCAAAAGGAUUUUCUAAGUCCAUAAUAGUCACUCAUUCCAUUGAUAUCUUAAGACCUGUUAUAGGUACCAAAGAAUAUACAAUGAAUGUAUGAAUUUAAGAAUUCCUAUUUAUAGUAUGAUCAUGAAUUGAUGAAGGAAUGAUUUGGAAUAAAAGCAUCCAAAAUGACUAUUCGUAUGAAAGAAUGAAAAGAAUCUUAAAAGAAUAUAUACUCAAAAAGAAAUUGCAAAGAUAUAUUUCAUUGAAGUCAAAAUGUUCAAAUAUAAGCCCAUUUCAUUUCACAAAAAGUUUCCAUUUUCUCUAGGCUUAAAACAAUUAGUAUGUUUUGAAUUACUCUGGAAAAGCUCUAAAAACUUCAGGCAUUUCUUCAGCAGUCCAAUUAUUUAAAACACUCCCAAGUUUAAAAGAACAGAUGCCUAAUGCGCUUCCUUCUUCAGAUUCUUCUUCCAAUAUGGCAUUGAUGUUCAGUGUUCCUAACAUUUCUCCGUGGUCUUCUUUCUUGGAGUUCUCAGUCCAGAAUACAUGGUUCCCCCUAAUACGAAGGUCCUGGAUAUGUGGGGAAAGUCAUAGGUUCCCAAUCAACUUCUUCUCCAUUCAAACGCGCCUUCCUCCUCUCUUAUCUUUUCUCUGACUCUUUCCUUCUUUGCUUAACAUUUGGCUUAAAUCCUAAACCAAAGUGGUCUCGUUUAUCCUACACCAUUAGUGCCUCUAUCCUUCUUUGAAGGCAUUUUCCCAGUCCUCUUCCAGACACAGCUCUUUUCCCAACUGUCAUUUGCAGUCCUAUCCUCGUGGCUCUAGAUAUGCUGGGCAUCGGGAUCUUUUUUCUCUCAACGAUAAAGGUCGCAUUUACGAAUUCUAAGGACUGAAAUAAACAUUCGAUUGCCUCAUCAUCCGUUCCCAAAUUGGUAUGUUGCUGGUUACCGAUGCAAUGAUGUCUUCCUCAGUGUUAAUCGUAAUUAAUCAGCCUUCUGUUACCAAUUUCAACUUUUGGUGCAGUGAUAAAGGCACCGCUCCUACUGAAUAAAUCCAGGGUCUUUCCAACAAGCAAUUAUACGAAAGCUUAAUAUCCAUCACUAGGAAAUUCACCUCGUACGUAUUCGGGCAAAUCAAGAGGGGUACUUUUAUUCUCCCCAUCACCCUCCUUUCGGUACCAUCAAAUGCUCUCACUAUAUUCUGGCAUGAUUUUAUGUGAGAGCUAUCCACCGGUAACCUAUUUAAGGUGAAUAGGGGUAAAACAUUCAAGGCUGAUCCAUUAUCAAUUAGCACACCCGGUAAUGUAUAUUCCCCGCAGCAAGUAAUGAUAUGUAAGGCUUUGGCAGCUCCUCUUCCUCUCGGCUGUAUUUCAUCAUCAUUAAAGAAAAUGAAAUUGUUGGCACUAAUAUUGUUAACCAAACGGUCCAACUUAUUCACUGAGAUAUCGUUAGCGAUAUAAAUUUCAUUUAGCGCCUUAAUCAACGCAUUACGAUGUAUCUCUAAACUUAGAAGCAACUCAAGUACCGAGAUAUGAGCCGGUUGCUUAUGUAAUUAUUUUACCACGCUGUAUUCGCUAUAUUUUAAGAAUUUCAGAAAUUCUCUAACCUCAUUUUCAGUUAUCGGCUAAUUGAUAUGCAAUUCAAUUUUGUCUGUUUUUGCUUUUCCCAGCUCAACUGUUAAGGCUUUUCCUUUUCCAGAUUCCACUCUUACAUUCGCCGGAUCAUAGCAUUUUCCACUUCGUGUAUAGAAUCAUUCAUUCUCUUUUGAAGCGUUUAUCAAGCUCUCCUUUUCUGUGCAUUUUUAGAUGUCAUGGCCUUCUUCUACGUGGAACUUACAAAACUUCCUUGCUCCUUCAGGCAUUUCUAUUGAAUAUUGCUUGAUGAGACCUCAUUCCAUCAUUCAUUUCCAAACCCACUCGAUGUCUGGAGAAAUGAUAGAGAACGCCAUAAGAUGUGGCAAUAUAGAAGCAGGAGAAAGCACUAAAAGGUCAAUACCAAAAAAGAAGGAGCACGAGAUAAACAAUACAAGCAUGUUUAACAAAGACCAUUCUAAAUCAAUAACGGCGGGACAAGCAAGAGUAGUAACCGCUAAUCAGCAAGGUUCUUCGAAACAGGAAUCCAAUCUAAGGCCAAAUAUAGAGAGACCUCAAUUCACACCCAUCGCAAUGACGUAUAGUGAAUUCUACCAGAACUUACUCGAUGCACAUGUGGUAUCUCCAUUUUACCUAAAACCUAUGUAACCUCCAUACCCUAAGUGGUAUGACGCAAACGCCCAAUGCGAGUAUCACGUGGGGACUAAGGGGCACUCGAUUGAGAAUUGCACUGCAUUCAAGAAGUUAGUUGAAAAACUUAUCAAUUUGGGGAUCGUAAAGAUUAGCGACUCAUCAGGACCGAGCGUAGCAAGGAAUUCGUUACCCAAUCAUAAUGAUAAAAAGGCGAACGCGAUAAUUGAGAAUGAAUGAAGGAGAGUCAAAGCCAACGUAGCAGAGAUAAAGACCCCCUCGAGUGGGUUUGGAAAUGAAUGAUGGAAGGAGGUCUCAUCAAGCAAUAUUCAAUAGAAAGGCUUGAAGCAACAAAGAAGUUUUGUAAGCUCCACGUAGAAGAAGGCCACGACAUCUAAAAAUGCACCGAGUUCAGAACCAUAGUGCAAAACUUAAUGGAUAAAAAUAGUUGGAGUUUUAUGAAGAGAUCAAGGGACUAGAAGAGGGAGAAGUUUAUGCUUUAGAGGAAAGAUCUACGGGGAAAGCCCAAAAGGCUAAUCACCUAGUGGUGAUUAUUUCAAAGCUAAUAAGCAGAGAAUCUGAAAUACAAAUAGUGCCAAAGGUCAUAAUCCAAAAACCUGUAUCCUUUCUUUAUAAGGAUAGCAAAAAGGUUCCUUGGAAUUACAACUACAAUGUGACAAUCUCAAGAAAGGAGAGCUUGGUAAACACUUCAAAAGAGAAUGAAGAAUUCUAUACACAAAGUGGCAAACGCUAUGAUCCGGCGAAUGCAAGAGUGGAAUCUGGAAAAGGAAAAGCCUUAGCAGUUGAACUGGGAAAAGCAAAAACAGACAAUUGAAUCGCAUAUCAAUUAGCCGAUAAUUGAAAAUGAGGUUAGAGAAUUUCUGAAAUUCUUAAAAUAUAGCGAGUACAGCGUGGUAAAAUAAUUACAUAAGAAACCGGCUCAUAUCUCGAUACUUGAGUUGCUUCUAAGUUUAGAGAUACAUCGUAAUGCGUUGAUUAAGGCGCUAAAUGAAAUUUAUGUCGCUAACGAUAUCUCAGUGAAUAAGUUGGACCGUUUGGUUAACAAUAUCAGUGCCGACAAUUUCAUUUUCUUUAAUGAUGAUGAAAUACAGCCGAGAGGAAGAGGAGCUGCCAAAGCCUUACAUAUCAUUACUUGCUGCGGGGAAUACACGUUACCGGGUGUGCUAAUUGAUAAUGGAUCAGCCUUGAAUGUUUUACCCCUAUCCACCUUAAAUAGGUUACCGGUGGAUAGCUCUCACAUAAAAUCAUGCCAGAAUAUAGUGAGAGUAUUUGAUGGUACCGAAAGGAGGGUGAUGGGGAGAAUAAAAGUACCCCUCUUGAUUUGCCCGAAUACGUACGAAGUGAAUUUCCUAGUGAUGGAUAUUAAGCCUUCGUAUAAUUGCUUGUUGGAAAGACCCUGGAUUUAUUCAGUAAGAGCGGUGCCUUUAUCACUGCACCAAAAGUUGAAAUUGGUAACAGAAGGCUGAUUAAUUACGAUUAACGCUGAGGAAGACAUCAUUGCAUCGGUAACCAGCAACGUACCAAUUUGGGAAUGGAUGAUGAGGCAAUCGAAUGUUUAUUUCGGUCUUUAGAAUUCGUAAAUGCGACCUUUAUCGUUGAGGGAAAAAAAAUCCCGAUGCCCAGCAUAUUUAGAGCCACGAGGAUAGGACUGCAAAUGACAGUUGGGAAAGGAGCUGUGCCUGGAAGAAGACUGGGAAAAUGCCUUCAAAGAAGGAUAGAGACACUAAUGGUGAAGGAUAAACGAGACCACUUUGGUUUAGGAUUUAAGCCAAAUGUUAAGCAAAGAAAGAAAGAGUCAGAGAAAAGAUAAGAGAGGAGGAAGGCACAUUUGAAUGGAGAAGAAGUUGAUUGGGAACCUAUGACUUUCCCCACAUAUUUAGGACCUUCGUAUCAGGGUGAACCAUGUAUUCUAGACUGAGGACUCCAAGAAAGAAGACCACGGAGGAAAUGUUAGGAACACUGAACAUUAAUGCCAUAUUGGAAGAAGAAUCUGAAGAAGGAAGCACAUCAGGCAUCUGUCCCUUUGAACCUGGGAGUGUUCUAAAUGAUUGGACUGCUGAAGAAAUGCCUAAAGUUUUUAGAGCUUUUCCAGAGUAAUAUUCAAAACAUACUAAUUGUUUUAAGCCUAGAGAGGGCGAUCUAUUAUCGUAGUAAGAAAUUUACUGACUGUGAAAUAAUGUAUUCGCCUAUUGAAAAAUUAUGUUGUGCUCUGGUCUGGACGACACGAAGAUUGAGACAAUACAUGCUCUAUCAUACGACUUGGUUAAUUUCAAAGUUAAACCCUUUAAAGUAUAUGAUAGAGUCGACUGCGUCAAAUGGGAGAAUGGCUAGGUGGCAGAUUCUACUCUCCGAAUUUGAUAUAGUCUAUGUAAAUCAGAAGGCUGUUAAAGGAAGCGCGAUAGUAGAAUUUUUUGCCAGCAGAGCUUUAGAAGGCUAUGAACCUCUGAAUUUUAAUUUCCCGAAUGAAUAUUUGAUGUAUGUUGCAACCGCUGAAGAGGAUUCCCACGAAAAUCACCCUUGGAAACUAAGCUUCAAAGGAGCUUCAAAUGCUCUAGGCAAUGGAAUUGGGACAGUCCUCGUGUCCCUAGUGGAGAUCAUUAUCCUUUUACUAGCAAAUUUGACUUUGAUUGCACCAAUAACAUGGCUGAGUAUGAAGCUUGCAUUAUGGCCAUCCGGGCAGCUAUAGAGCAAGAAAUUAAGGUGCUAGAGAUAUACGGAGACUCUACAUUGGUAAUAUACCAACUCAAAGGAGAAUGGGAAACAAGAGACCCAAAGUUAGUCCAAUAUCGGAAGUUGGUUCUAGAAUUGAUUGAGGAGUUUGAUAGCGUCACCUUUUGUUAUCUCCAACGAGACGAAAACCAGAUGGCAGAUGCUUUGGCCACUCUAGCCUCUAUGAUCAAGGUGAACAAACCAAAAGAUAUGAAGCCUAUUUAAAUCAGCAUUCAUGAGGCUCUAGCCUAUUGUUACAACAUUGACGAUGAAGAGGAAAAGGAUGAUCACCCCUAGUAUCAUGACAUAUUGCGAUAUGUAAAGAGUCGUAAGUACCCCGCCCGUGCGACGGAAAAUGAUAAGAAAACAUUAAGGAGAUUAGCAAUUGAUUAUGUCUUAUACGGGGAGAUUUUGUAUAAAAAGGGAAAAGAUUAAGUAUUGUUGAGAUGUAUGGAUGCUGUCGAGGCUAAGAAAAUUUUGGAAGAAGUGCAUAAAGGUAUCUGUGGAACGCAUGCCAACGGCUUCACGAUGGCCAGACAAAUUAUAAGAUUUGGGUACUAUUGAUCCACCAUGGAAGGGGAUUGCAUUAAUUGCGCCAAAAGGUGCCAUAAAUACCAAAUUUAUGGUGACAAAAUGCAUACGCCACCUUUACCCCUUCACGUUAUGGUUUCUCCAUGGCCGUUCUCCAUGUGGAGAAUAGAUGCCAUCGGGCCAAUAUCUCCAAAGGCUUCUAAUGGGCAUCGUUUUAUCUUUGUGGUUAUUGAUUACUUCACUAAAUGGGUGGAGGCUGCUUCAUAUACUAAUGUCACGAAGUCGGCAGCUAGCAGGUUUCUGAAAAAAGAGAUUAUAUGUCAGUACGGGAUGCCUGAAAGGAUCAUAUCCGAUAAUGCGCUGAACUUGAACAAAACUUAAUAGCGAAAGUUUGUAGUCAAUUCAAGAUCAGACACCAUAAUUCGUCACCGUACCAUCCAAAAAUGAAUGGUGCCGUGAAAGCAACUAACAAAAAUAUCAAGAAAAUUGUAGGGAAAAUGAUUGAAACUUACAAAGAUUGGCAUGAGAAAUUACCUUUCGCUCUCCUGGCAUAUCGUACCUCUGUUAGAACCUCUAAUGAGGCAACACCGUUUUCCUUAGUCUAUGGGACGUAGGCAGUUUUACCCAUAGAAGUGAAAAUCCUUUCUCUCCAAGUAUUAGCUGAAUUAAAGUUAGAUGAGACCGAAUGAAUUCAAUCUCAAUAUAAUCAACUAAACUUGAUAGAAGAAAAGAGGUUAAAAGCUAUUCGUCAGGGUCGGAUGUAUUUGAAACGAAUGAUGCGAGCCUAUAACAAGAAAGUUCGUCCCAGAGAAUUUCACGAAGGGGACCUGGUUUUAAAAAAGAUUCUUCCUCUACAAAAGAAUUUUAGAAGAAAAUGGAUGUCAAAUUGGGAAAGGCCUUAUGUGGUAAGAAGGCCUUUUCUGAAGGAGGUUUAAUCUUGAUCGAGAUAGUUGGUAAAAGCCUGCCAAAUCCUGUAAACUCAGAUUCAGUUAAGAAAUAUUUCACUUGAAGAAAGAGGAUCAAAGUGAAAACCUAUAAAGAGCACUUUAAAGUUAAAAAAAAAAAAAGGCCAAGGACAUUGAUUCCAUGACAAGUCUAAAUAUAUGAGCCACAAGAGGUUCCCCAAUGAUCUCGAAAUUGAUCCCUGUAAAUUGGAAUUAGAGAGAGACAAAUAUUUCAAGACAUGCAGGUUGUCAAUCAAAUCAAUCAAUUUCGUAAAGGACAUCCAUGACAGAUCCAAAUGUUCAAGAUUACUGCUCUGAUAGAACUUCAGAAGAUCAAGACUAAGGUUUCGGUUGUAUCCUAAGUUGAGCAAAUUGAGGUUUGGCGAAUGAAGAAUGUUUCUUGAGAAUUUUCCUUGCAAAUCACAACCACCAAGACUAAGAGACUUUAUAGAAGAGGAUAGAUUCAUGAAAAUAUUAGGAUUAAUAGAAGGCAUGAUAAUUCUAUCAAGAAAAAGAUGUCUCACCUCAAUUAGGUUGUAAACAAGUCCCCCCAAAGUAUUUUUGUCAGGUGUUAAUUGGUCAGAAAAAAACAUUAUGAGAGAGAUCAAGUGAAACCAAUUUCAAAAUCCAUGCCGUCAUUCUUUUUCUUAGUUGUCAAUGCUUACUGCUACUGUGGUCCCAUUGAGGCAAAAUGCUGGGAAAUGUUUGAGCCUUUUACCACAUGUCCAUGCAGUGCCUGCUCACACAAGAUCUGAACUUUGUUCAGACAAGUUCCUCAAAAGAUAGUCCUGUAAUAUGCAACAUAUGAAUCAGUGUCAGAAAAGGCCAAAGAAAGAGUACGGAACUGAACUAGUAGAAAAUCAAGAUAAUAUACCAUAUUAUCCAGUGCUGGGGCUUUCAGAGCACUAAUCUCACUCAUUGCACAAUCAGGAAACACAAAGCUAGCAGCAUGCCAUGUUUCAAUGACUGUCACUGAGUUUUAUUAAAAAAAAAUUGUAAAUUUCAGAGAUAUUUGACAUGGUGUUUAUUUUCCAAGGAAACAUGAAUUCCAAAGAUCAACGACUCCACUGAGUUUGUCGCUUCAAUAAAAAAUGGUAAGAACAACAAGACCAGUUAACAAUAAUCAAUAAUAACAUUUUCUACAACACUAAAAAUGACUCGUAGGGAUUAUAAAUUUGAGGGGGAAAUGUAUGAACAAUGGGAUCAAUUACAACUUACAAGCAUGUGAUAACUAGCAGACAUAACUCAUACAAGACCUAGAUGUAUUAUUGAACUCUUAUAUAAAAGACAACUGAAGAUGCAAAGCUUAAUUGUUAAGCUUUUCUGAUGCUUGAUAAGCAUAGUUUUAGUUCAGUUCCGAGAUCAAUGCAUGCUAUUGCGAUUUAUUAUCUUUGAUGCCAAGGAAAUUACAGAAUUCAAAGACCAAAAGGUUCGAUUACAUACUAGAUCAUGGCUGUAAACCAAUCUACAACCUCUCUCCUCGACCUCCAUUUGAAACCAGCAUGAUUUGAAUUCUCAGCCGCAUAUACCCUCACAAACUCCUCAGCAACAACAUAAAACAUCUGCCUAAUACUCCUUUGAGAACCGAUAACUGCACAGACAGAUUCACUGGUGGAAUCCUUCAAGAAAUAUUGAACCACACAAUUACCACAGUCCUGUGAAAUAAACUCCUCCUGCCACUCGAAACAAUGACCAUUUCCAGACAUUUUGAUAGACAGUACACAAUUUGCUUCACUACUUACUCACAUAGCUAAAAGAUGUCUAAUGAAACUGGCAAAGGGUUCUUCCAAAAUGGUACAUUAGCUGCCAAAAAGACAACCACCAUACAUUCAUUCAUUCAGUAAACAGCUUCAAUAUGGCAAUAAGCUAUUAUCUUAAAAAUGCUUUUUCUACCACAGAAGAAUAAGAACUAGGCAUCUCAGAAAAUUUGCUAAAUUAAUGACUUUGCUCCCUUCAAAAUAAACAAAUGAUUAACUGCAUUAACCCCAAAGAGGUCACCAUCAACCUUCAGUUAAACUUUCAAGGAAUAAUAAUAAACAAUAGAAGGAAACAAGGGGGGGAAAAAAACUAACCAGAACUCAGUAAAAACUGAGCCUUGAAGAUCUGCAGGUAGUAAGAGAGAAACCCCAUGACGACUAAAGUCCAAGCUUGAAAGAACCAAAAGGAAGCAUCAUAUGGCUAUGACUCACUGGACCAAAAGAAUCACCAAUGAAUAAAGGAAAAUAGGCACUUUCUUUUAUACCUAAACAUACAACAUUUAGCCUCAAAACAAGAUCCUCUUUGGCAAAAAUUCAGGUUUUCACAAAGGGUUUAAGAAAGAGGGUGAAAGUUAAAGAACUUGUCUUUGUUUUGAUUUGUGGAACACGAGAUAGUGAAGGAAAAUAGAGGUGAGGAAAUAAGAUGGAGUAAGUGGUGAAAAAGGAGAGCCUAAAAGAGGCAUUUUUGAAGGGUAGUUUAGAAGCUGCAGAGGCUUUGGCAUACAGCAGCUGAUAGUGAGAGAAGACAAACCAGAAACGUAAGUAGGGCGACGAUAAAA
rnacentral:lncRNA from 1 species